UCCUCUUCUGGUGUAGUACCUUUCCUCCUUCUCCGGUGAAGAUGACUUUCGGUUCCCGUCAGAAUUCCUGUAACCAAACCAAACCAAACAGACCCACAAACUAAAUUUAGUAAAUUAGAAAGACAAAAAAAAAAAAAAAAACAGGUUGACAACUACAAGUUUCAUAACAAAACACUUCAAAAGCUCAAUUAGAGAACAAAACAACCCUGAACUGCUCGACAACGGCUCCACUUAUCAUGUUCCGAUUGAUUCUUAAUUGCAAAACUCCUUAUAUAUUAAAUCCAAUAACAUUGAAACCUUUUAAACUGAUCUUUUCUCUUUGUCCAAAAAAUAUAUUUUUUCUGUUAGAGAAAUGAUUUGCGUGCACCCAUUUUCUCCUUGUACACACCAGCUGAAUACUCAUGUCGCUUUGUUCUCAUUUCAUCUGUUCAAUCCAAAGGCAGGGGUGUGCAGAAAUCACUUCUCCUCUGUUAUCAAUUCCGUUUCUCCGGAAAAUAACUCACCUCCCUUCGAUUCGUCGGAGAAAAGGUUGAGGAAUUAUAUUAAUACAGUAAUACUUGGGAACCAAAUAAUAGCACAAAAGAAAAUCCAUGUAAAAACGAGCACAUAACAAAAGAAAUUGCCUCAUAUUCUCUGCUUAUUUCUUUUCCUUUAGUUUCUCGUAAAACCACACAGGUGGUAGGCGUGAGCCAGAGAAAUCAUGUGAAAUUUUCUGACCUGGUAAGGCGAUUGGAUUGAAAACCAGAGAUGUCUUUUCCGGAAGUGGAGACCGCAAAGCGAUGAAUCCGAGACGAUGUGAUUGUCCUGCACAUGCCACCAUUGAAUUUGAAUCUCUCGGCUGAGAUUUCCGAGCCUUUGACUCUCACACAUCUGAGCCUCUUCCUGUUCCCCCACUGCAGGAAAAACUCAGGUUCUGAAGCUCUCUGAUUAUUCCUCUCUUCCUCCGUCUCCAUACCUGCAAAAAUAAAUUCAGAAAUUAAAUAUAAAAAAAAUAAAAAUAAAAACUUGCAUCUUCCCAAAUGAAACCCAGAAGUGAAUAAUCAAAAUUUUACCAGUUGAAGGAAGCUUACGAUGAGAUGUUUAAAUGUAAAUUACAGAACUUUGAGGAUUUUCCAGCAAAUUUCACCAAGACGACGAAAGCCCAGAUGGAGAUGGAGAUUCUUCUUCUGUAAAUCUCGCUUCUCCGCCUCCUCCGUCUUUGCUGUUGUUCUGGUGUUGCUCUCUGUUUUUCUCCUCUCAAGUUUUUGUGAAUUAUUUCUUCUUGUUCUUCUUCUUCUUCCUUUCCUGUCUGUUGUUUCUCCGUCCUCCUCUUUCUCUCUCUUGCAUUUCUCGUUUUAUCCUUUGCGUCGGCCGGACAAUAAAAAAAACUUAAGAUUACUGUAACCGUUAGAUUCAACAUCAACGGUUUCGAUGCGUAAGGAUUUUGGGUCCCUGAUUUUGGAGCCCAAAAUGAAAUUGGAUUUGCAUAUUUGCUUUUGGGUUUAGCAUGAGUGUCGAGUCGAACCCAAACGGAAAUGCACCGAUGUCCCCGUCGGCCCUUCAAGGAGAGUAGAUUGUGGCCACUCUGGUGACCAUGAGUGGGCUUUUACUAAUUGCUCGAGGUUCUCCUUGUCACAAUUCAUACUAGUUUGGUACUGUGAUACUUUUAUAAAAAAUGGGUAUAAAAAAAAAAAGGGAUCUCGCUUCUCUGCCCUCCCACUUCUCAUACACUCUCAUCCCAUCCUAUUUGUGCGGUCACGGUUAAGUCACGUCAACAUUUUAUAUUACUAUUAUUUUUUGUCUUAUUAUCUCUAAAAAAAAAAUCAAUAUAAAAUGUUGACGUAGCUUAACUGUUAUUGCACAAAAUAGAAGGGGAUGAGAGUGUAUGGGAAGUGGGAGGGCAAAGAAGCCGGGUCCAAAAAGCUGAGCUCAAAAAGGUGUUUGGUAAACACUUAAAAACAACUUAUUUUCACAGUUUUGGGUAAAAAAAAAAGCUGAAAACGUGAAGCAGCAAAAAUGAGCUUAUUCUCACAGCACAGCAGAAGCAAUUUUUCUUCAAAGCACAGUCAUAUCAAACCAACCCUUCAUCUUCAAAUAAUAUUUAUCCACUCUUUGUUUUCUACACUAAUGUUUACAACAGGCCAUUGAUUUUUGUUUGCUUUAUUCGACCCUAAAACUGGAGGUCUUAAGUUUGAAAAUCGUUGCUAGUGUGGAAGCCAGACUUGUAGUUAGAUGGAGACUGAAAUACCUCUGUGAGUAUUCCCGACUUCUGGUAAGGGUGGAUAAUAGUAGCUUGCCACUAGUUGUCUCCCUUUCUAUAAAAAAAAUGGUAGAAACAUAAGUAUGCAUAGAGAUAAUAAUAGUGUGUGAAAAUUAUUUUCCCUAUCGAACUCUAUAAAUUCAGUUCGUGGCCUAAGAGUUUGUUACAUAAAAAGUAGUAUGAUGUGAAUUAGUUUUUGACCAUUUUUUCAACAUUAACUUAUGUUAUAUCUAAUGUUGAGAGUGAUGAUGAUCACCAUCAUAUAUGAUAUAUCUAUGUUUAUUGAAAGAAAGAAUCUAUCAAUAAUGUUUAAGGAAGUGAACAAAGUUUAAGAAUUCCAUUUUCAUGUUAUGUAAUAUUAAAUAUCACGAGCAUUGGAUAAUCUGAAUUCACGAAAUCACAAUAAAAAUAUUAAUUCAAACUAAUUCAGAUCUCUAACGGAAGAAUUUUGCCAAGUUUUGUGUGGUGAUUUAAGUUUUGUCGAUGAACCAUGCAUUUGAAGAUGCAAGUUGUUUCAUAUGACUGUCUUUACCUAAAUUUCAAGAUGCGUUCUCUCUCUUUCUCUCUCUCUCUCUGUGUUUUCUGUUACUCUCUAGAAGAUGAUUUUGGUGCCUCCAAGUGGCAGCUUGUCGUGCCUUGACGACCUUUUUUAUGUCAAGUGCUUGACUUGGUGCCCUACAGGAUCUUAAAUGGCAAAACCUCUCUUCUUAUGUGUUAUGUCCUUAAAGUCCUCAAUUUAUUUUCUUUACUUUAGUUUCUAGUUUGUUUGUAAAUAGGUGACAUUUUUUCAGAAGGUAAAUAGACGACAUUUGGUGAAGAAGAAAUGAGCAACAUUGUAAAGUAUAUAUAAAAAAAAAAAUGAUCAACAAAUAUUGACACAUUAGCGAGAGUUUAGAGCUAAAGUAGUUAAGAAUUUUUAUUCUUGCACAUAAAAGUUUACUCAGCUUAGUAUUGUGCGUAAGAGUAUUAUUUUUUUUGGGUACAAUUAGAGAUAAUGUAGGAGGGAUGAUUUGAAUAUAAAAACUCGAGUAUAACGAUUAACACUCUAAAAUACUUAAACUACAUACCAGAAGAAUCAUAAUCUUUUAAUUGUGAAAUGCGGAAAAGGGUGUAAAUGGAAAAGUAAAUAAGUCUCUUGCGACACAUGUUUUUCCUACUUUAAACUUAAAAUAUGUGUUUCAUAAGAUAACAAACACAAAAGGACGUAGAGAAGCUCCUAAACAACCAAUUUGUUCAUAGAAAACUCAGAAACCCCUAAAAUAUACAAGUCCCGCUCCCACAACCAAACAAGGAGAUGCAGACGAGCUCCCCGCAGCCAAUCAGAGCUAGCCAAUACAAGAGUGCCUCCCCUUCUUCCAUUUCCUUAAAUCAAACCCUAGCUUAAAUCCAACACUAGCUUUCUCUCUCUUUAAUUAAUUUGCAUGCAAAGUAAUUUCAAUGGAGUUUCAGUUCCAACGGCCGCAGCAAGUUUCCUUUGCAGCUGCAGGCAUUCCAAAAAGCAGCAGCAAAGUAGGGAAGUUGAAGGGAAGAAAUAAUAAUAGUAGAAGCAACAACAACGCAAACAAGUUUGUUGGCGUGAGACAGAGGCCUUCGGGGAGAUGGGUUGCCGAGAUCAAAGGCACUACUCAAAAAAUAAGGAUGUGGCUCGGAACCUUUGAGACCGCGGAGGAGGCUGCCCGUUCUUAUGAUGAAGCCGCCUGCCUUCUUCGCGGUUCAAACGCUCGAACCAACUUCAUCACCCACGUAUCUUUGGACUCCCCUCUCGCUUCUCGCAUUCGGAAUUUACUCAACACGAAAAAAGGAGGAGGAGGAGGAGGAGGAGGAGCCACUAAACAACUAGCACUACUACAACACCAAAGCAGUAGUACUAGCACUACUACUAGUACUAGUUCUGAUCAUGAUCAUCUGCCGCCUCCGUCUAAACAACUAGUACGUAAAAGUAGUACUAGUACUACUUGUACUUCAACUAGCAGCGGCAGCGACACAACUUCCCUUUCGAGCGAGGUGUUUCAUGAUAAUUCUCUGCUGUUUGACGAUGUCUACAAACCGGAUUUGAGAAACUGCAACGAGGACUUUGAGUUGAGUUCUUCCUCCAAUACUUCUCAAUCCAACCUGCCUUCAUGGGGGUCAUAUCAAACGGGGGUUGACUGCUUCUCGUUUGCUCAACAAGCGUUUGAGUUUCCGAAACAUCAGGCGGCGGCUGCUUUGUCCUCGGCGGAGAGUAAUACGACUACUACUAGUACUAUUUGUACGGCAGGUGAAGCUGAUUCGGGGCUGAUGGAUUUCGAAAGGUUGAAAGUGGAGAGACAGAUAUCGGCUUCGCUUUAUGCAAUGAAUGGGAUGCAAGAGUAUAUGGAAACAGUUCAUGAUCCUAACGAAGCGCUCUGGGAUCUUCCGCCGCUGUGUUCUUUGUUCUGCUAAUUAAUUAGGAUCAGUUGAAUUGAAGGUUUUGUUGUUGGUGGCCAUGCACGGAAGUUGGAUCUCUCUUUCUCUUCAAUUAUUCUUGCAAUUGUCAACUGAGAAACUGUUAAGAGAUUAAGAUGAUCAGAAAUUUAUUUGUAUUAACUUAUUCUUGCGGAUUUAAUUCAAGAUCGAUAUCUGCUGGAACAUACACACACACAUACAUGGAGACAAGUUAAUUACACUUAAUGUUAUUCAAAGGUUUCCUAGCUACCUCAACGAAUGUAAUUGAUAUCUUAUUUGUUAUAAAGUAAGCAUCCCUAAUUUCUCUACAGCUUAAAACAAGAAACUCCGAGGAGAUGUACGUUACGACAAAAUCGUGGGCAAUUUCACCUUCGUCCAUGCGGAGUAAUUGUGGUAGAUUUAAAGGUUAUUGAAAUUGUGGUCCAAAACAGUUCAGCAAAGAGAACCAAAAAAUGAACACUUCAAAUCAUGACAUCAUAUUGUGGAGACAACCUACGCAGAGUUGCCAUAUCAACUUACCAACCGAUUAACACUUGCAACCAUUCGUUAACAUGGGGUCUAGGAUACAGGUCUCGAGCUUUGGGCAGAUCUCAAUUGUUUCAAAGACAACAUUAGUUCAUUCCAAGUAAUGAAAAGUUGAUUACUUAUACACGGCAAACGUACUUCCAAAACCAUCACAAGGGCAGAACCAAAACACAAUGUGCAUGUCUUUCGAAAGAAAAAAGGAUAAAGAAAAAUGCACAGCUAGAUAAGAAACAAAAUAAUGGAGAGGUCUAGCAGGAUAGACAGAUUGCUUCCGAAGUGAAUCCCAAAGUAUUAUGGUUCAGUAAUCUUCCCCUUCCUCUUCAUCAUCAGCGCCUUCUGCCCCAACUUCCUCGUAGUCUUUUUCAAGAGCAGCAAGAUCCUCACGGGCUUCUGAGAAUUCACCUUCCUCCAUCCCUUCACCUACAUACCAAUGCACAAAUGCCCGCUUGGAAUACAUAAGGUCAAAUUUAUGGUCAAUUCGGGAGAAGACCUCAGCUACUGCAGUGUUGUUGCUUAUCAUACAAACUGCACGUUGCACCUUGGCAAGAUCACCACCUGGUACAACUGUCGGGGGCUGGUAGUUAAUACCACAUUUGAAACCAGUUGGGCACCUGAAAGUAUCCAUAUAGAGCAACCAUUCAGAUAAACACAAGGGACAACAAAAAAAUAGUUUACGAAGUCAAAUAAUCUGCAAUGAAAACCCCAGCAUCCUUCCUUUUAAGACGGCUAUUUUGAAUCCAGUUUGUCUACAAACAAGGGUUUCCUACCAUUAAUAUUGCUACCAGUGCAUAAGAAAUUAAUGUAUACACAAUGAGAGUACGAUAUCAAAAACAUGUUUAACCCACAAACGUGUUAGAGAUAUACUAAGAAGAUGUCAGCAUUAAUACAGCCUAAGCUUAACAUGUAUGACCAUAAAUAAACGUCAUUGCCAUUGCUUGAACUACAAGGACUGAAAUAUUGAAAUCAAUAAUAAAGUAACAUCCAUCUCAUCAAUUUUGGUGCGAAUACUAUUUAGGUUUAUAUUUUAAUGAAACUAGAUGCAUGAAGUGUCUACUCACCAGUCCACAAACUGAACUGUCCUCUUUGUCUUAAUGGUAGCUACAGCAGCAUUUACAUCCUUCGGUACAACAUCACCACGGUACAUCAAGCAGCAUGCCAUGUACUUCCCAUGCCUAGGAUCACACUUGGCCAUCAUACUUGAGGGCUCAAAUACAGAACUUGUGAUCUCAGGAACUGACAGUUGCUCAUGGUAGGCCUUUGCAGCGGAGAUUACAGGGGCAUAAGAUGAGAGCAUAAAGUGGAUACGAGGAUAUGGAACCAGAUUAGUUUGAAACUCCGUAAUGUCCACAUUAAUGGCACCGUCAAACCUCAACGAAGUUGUCAAAGAAGAUAUCGUUUGGGAUAUUAAACGAUUCAAGUUGGUGUACGUUGGCCUUUCAAUGUCUAAAGAUCUCCUACAGAUAUCAUAAAUGGCUUCAUUGUCCAGAAGCACAGCCACGUCUGUAUGUUCAAGGAGAGAAUGCGUGGAAAGCACGCUAUUAUAAGGUUCUACCACAGCAGUGGAGACCUGCACAUUUUAAGAUUAGUUUCUGUAGACAGUCGCACAUGAAUGGUUCAAGAAAAUUAAGAGAGCUAAUUAUGUGGAAGCAGAUGAAAGGGAGAACCUUCAAAAGAUUUUAUUCUCAAACAGUAAUAUUUCCUAAGUUUCCGCACACCACUUAUGUUGUCUCUCCAGAUGUAAUAUCUAGUUUCGGACUUGGUGUGCAUAUUUUUACAUUAAGAACUGAAAAACCAUUAAGUACAAUCAGAAGGUAAAAAUAUUAAAAAAUGUGAACAUUAACCGAAUGCAAGCCACUAAAAAUUUUAUAUUCUCAAAGAAGUCAUCUUGUCUAGGUUCUGAGAAUCUUUCUGACCAUCAUUUCUGAUGCCCUUCUGGUAAGAAUAAACAUGUCUCUUAUAAUUGUAGACUAGCUUUUUUAUCAGAUUUAGUUUUUUGCUUAUUGAGGUAGCAGAACUAAUUUGUCGCAGUAAACCAUUGAAACAGGUACAGCAUACAAAAUUUAGAGAAGAAAGACGAGUUAGACAAGUGUUCACAAAUACUAGUUUUAGCACUUAAGAUCUAUCCAAUUACCAUAUCCUGCACUUUUCUAAGUAAUGUACCUGAGGAGAAGGAUAAAUCGUGAAACCGAGCUUUGACUUCUUUCCAUAAUCAACAGACAAUCGUUCGAGAAGUAAGGAACCCAAACCAGAACCAGUGCCACCACCAACAGCAUUAAAUACCAAAAACCCUUGCAGGCCAGUGCAAUUAUCGGCUAAUUUUCUUACCCUGUCAAGGCAUAGGUCCACAAUGUCCUUCCCCACUGUAGCAUUCAGAAAACCAGUUAUAACUAAAGUAAUAGAUGGAAAUGCCAGUUGGACAGCGCAACAUACAUAAUUAUACCUGUGUAGUGUCCUCGGGCAAAAUUGUUUGCAGCAUCUUCUUUGCCAGAAAUAAGUUGCUCGGGAUGAAAAAGUUGUCUGUAAGUCCCAGUCCUGACUUCAUCAAUAACCGUCGGUUCAAGAUCAACAAAUAUGGCUCUGGGCACAUGAUUUCCAGAACCAGUUUCGCUGAAGAAGGUGUUAAAAGAAUCGGUUGCAGCGCCGACAGAGGUGUCACUGCAUUCACACAAAUACAAUUAAAAAUUAAUAAUCCAUCCUUCUACACAGGUACAAGGGAUUAUAAGAAUUUUGCGGUAACUAAGUAACUACCCAAUAAACUGGUCCACAUAUCAAAGAAGAAAUACAACAAAACAAAAUGAAAAGCAGUUGUUCUAAAUAUCAGAACUAUAUUACUAUUCACAACCCCGCCAAAUACCAGUUAUGGAUAUACGUGGCACGGGAACCCACAAAAGGGAGAUGUGAACACACAGACAAGUUCAUACAAGUGCAUUGGAAAGAAUGAAAAAUAACUUGCAUAACCAAACUAUGAGGAUGUAAAACGUGUUACAUACCUACACCUUGUUUUUUUUUUUGGGUACAUAAAUUCUAGAAAUUUUUGCCAAUUCAAAUAGUCUGAUUCCCCAGUAGGGAAUUGCAUAGGAAAGGUAUCAAUAAAUCUUUAAUCUUAAGCAUACGUUUGAGCUUGAGAUAAGUUAAAUGUAGCUGACACCACAUAGUUUGCAUUAAGAGAUCAUGACAUUUGUUGAUAUUUGCACAUUAGCAACAGACGAGGGCGUCUGAGUUUCAAUUAAGAAAGGAAAAGAGUAAACAUGAAAUCAACACAUUGCAUGUGUUCAUCUAAUAGAUUGAAUGACAAGACAGUCUGCAUCAAGCCACCGCGAUUGCUAGUUUGAUCUCACCAGAGGCAAAACUAUUAGCACAAAGAGGCAAAACUUGAUUGAAAUUCCAAGAAAGACAAAAUCCAACAUUCCAAAUCUAGACAGGAAGCUAACAUUACAAGGUGAUUUUUUUUUCUCCUCGAUUAACUCCAGAAUUCAAUCAAGGUUCCUCUAAAUUGAAAACGCAACGAUAAACGGAUCAAAGGAAGCAAAAAGAAUUGAUCUCAAUCACAAAUAAGCUCCCCACAUUUUAGUUUUCAUGAAUGAAGUAGCAAGAAACCAUGUUGCAUUUAGGUUAAUCCAAAUCUGAUCCGCUAGAUUUGUUGAACAUAAAUAUAACUCAAUUCCCAAUUUCCAUAUUGAAUUGAAUACCAAAACCCAAAAACUAUUAAUUUAAUAAAAAGGAUUGGUUUUUUCACAGGAACGGAUUCAAAUUAAGAAAAAAAUCAUAGAAACUCAGGGGGGUGUGAGAGAGAGAGAGAGAGAGAGAGAGAGAGAGAUAAAUACAUACCUGGGCAUCAUACCAUCGGGCUGAAUGCCAUGUUCAAGGCAGUAGAGCUCCCAGCACGCAUUCCCAACUUGGAUCCCUGCCUGUCCGAUGUGUAUGCUUAUUAUCUCCCUCAUCUUUCUCUCUCACUCUCCAAUUAACGAACACAGAGAAACAACACAGGAAAGAAAUACGGGAAGAAGAAGAAACAAUCCAGAGGAACCACUGAAAUGAUUAUUUAUUUUUAGUUGUUGAAUAUAAAUUAUUCGUUGUAUGGCUUUUUUUGGUAAAAAGUUAUAAUCAAUUACUAGUUGUUUUUGGUAAAGUAAAUAAUUAGUGGUUCUAGAUUUAGGUUGAAUCCCUUCAUCUAAUCAUGCUCAUCAAACAAUCUAAACCUUUAAAAUUUGAUUUAACAGCUAAAGUUAUUAUAACUUUUAAAGUGUGAUCGUAUUUUUAGCUGUUAGAUCAAAUUUCAUGGAUUUGAAUUGUUUGAUGAAAAGAAUUAGAUAAAAGGGAUGGAUCUCUAGAUCUACACUCACCCGUUCACUCAUAUGUAACACAUCAAAAUUCAAAAACUAUUUUCUAAUUUAAACUUUGUAUCAUUUCUAUGAUUUUUGUUUGAUUCAAUCUAUUUAGUAUUUAUAGUAAAAUUUUGAAGAAUAAAUUAAUAUUAAGUUCGUCAGCCGUAAGAUUGGAAUAUUCUACAUUAUAUAUUAUAAAAUAAUAAAAUUGAACUUAGUGGCUCUAACUUAAUUGGCUAAGCCCAAUCUUGUGCUAGAUGGAUCCCAUAAAUGAGACAUAUGAUGUGCUAUAAAAGGGUGAUGGGUAAAGAAGGUUCAUGCACCAACUAAUUAUUAGUGUAAUAGUACUUGAAAAAAUAGAUUUCAAUCAAUUGUGUUAUAAACUUAUAUACCAAGACAAUAUUAUGCGGAACAUUGAAAAAUCUUCGGUUAUUUGAUGAUGUGAUGAUUAUCUAAAUUAAUUUUUGGGAUGAUCCACCUUCUUAUGUUAUCCAGAAAAUAAUAAAAAUUUAAAUGGUUAAAAUUGUAUAUUAUGUGAAAGGAUAAUGUUAAAGAGAUUAGAAAUUUAAAUUAAAUUUACAAAUUAACUUAUAUAUCAUCAAUAAAACAUUAAUUAACGUUUAACUAAUAUUCAAUCAUUUAGUAUUAUCACAUGCAUAGCAGCAUGGGAGCUGAAAAGCCUGAAAUAAAAAAUAAAAAAAGAUAUGAGAGAUGAAAAAAUUGAAAAGCGGCAUAAGGGGCAGCGGAAGCAGCGGAGGGAAUCAAAUGGCUAGUGUGAAAGCGGUGGCUCUUAUGACCGGAGAUUCCAACGUCCGAGGCUCCCUUCAUUUCCUUCAGGCAUCCACCGGUCUCUCUCUUAUCUCUCUCUUUCUCUUUUUCCCUACUGUUUCACCGGAAAUCAACUGAAUGAUGAACAGGAGGGCCUACGCACAUACAGGGGAGGAUUAGUGGCCUCUCUCCCGGCCUUCAUGGUUUCCAUAUCCAUGCUCUUGGUGAUACCUCCAAUGGUUGCAAUUCCACUGGUAUCUCUCUCUUAAUUUCUGCUUAAAUUCUUCAAUUAAUGUAAUUUUUCAUUGCAUCUAGGACGUGGUUCUUGUUUCUUCAAUGGGUUUUACUUGAUUCCUACUAUUUGUUUUCGUUGGUGGAUGCUUUCUGGUUUGGACUUUUCAAAUUUUUAAUCUUUGAUGUUUAAGGACCUCAUUUUAAUCCACUGAAGAAGGAGCAUGGAGCUCCUUCAGAUAAGGAGCGUCACGCCGGCGAUUUGGGUAACAUUGUUGCCGGCCAAGAUGGUAUUAACAACUAUGAAAAAGUAUUGCUUUUCUUUUCUGUGUGUAAUAAAUUCAGCAUUCUACUAAAGUUGCACUCUCACUCACUCCGCAGGAGUUGCUGAGGUUUCUCUCCAGGACUGGCUGGUAACAAUUCUUUCCCUUUUGUAAAAGUCGAAAUACGAAUAUGAAGAAAUAUGUAUGCCUAGACUCUUUAACUUUAUUCUAUGGAUAAAGGAUUGAAUUGGUAGAAGAAGCGCAUGUAUAUGCAUGUCAUAGGCUUAUCGGCAGCUACGAGAUUAUUCAUAAUUCAUAUGUCCUUGGAUUGCUGUUUAUGAAUCUUAGAUUCCACUAAGCGGACCUAAUUCAAUUCUUGGGCGAGCAGUUGUAGUGCACGCUGAUCCUAAUGAUCUUGGUAAAGGUGAGUGUGUAAAAUUUGAUUGGCCAAUUGUUUGUUUAUCACGUUUAGGCUACUACAACCUCUUUGUGAAGUUUGGUAUCUUCUUUGAUGAUUCGUCACGAAAGCAUUAAGUUUUCCUAUUCCAUGAUUAUUUCGCUCAAAAGGGAUUUCACAUGGUACACAAUAUGAUUUUGAGGCAUCUAGCCCUUGAUUACAAAUUUCUUGUCACUUCUUGCUUCUAAUGGACAAUUACUUCUGCUUUUUGUUUUUAAGUGAAGAGGUGAAGUUUUAAUUCAUCAGAGAAACUGUGCAUAUUAUUAUUACUUGAUCACUCAAGUUUUUGAAUCUGAAUUAUCAGUAUCAAUUGGCAUUUGACCAGCUACUGAUUUUACGACACUUCCUAGUUGCAAAUAACUACGCUGUGUGGAUCAAUAUUUGUUUAUAUAACUUUUUUUCGGUACAUGGUAAUAGGCCAAAAUUUGUCUAUUUAACAUUGUGUCAAAGUAUCAAUCUUUUAAGAGUUUUAGCUUGUCUUGGUAUUUAAUUCUAAUUCACUUAGUUCCAAAUCUGCAAUGAAUUUCUUUUCAUGGAAUUAAAAUCUUAUGAGACUUUGUAAGGUUUUUCAAAAUUAUUAAUUUUGAAGUCGUUAACCCUAUAAGGCUAUUGGAGAUACCGUAAUAAACAUGAAUGUGCUUUAUGGUUUUGCAAAGCAUCUUCUUGAGCUUAUAUCAUGGAGACGACAAUCUCAUGAUAAUUAAGACUCAAUUAUGGUUAUUCUUUUGCUGUGAAAUUUCUCUUUCACUUUUGUAAGGUUUGUGCCAAUCACUGAACACUCUAAGAAGAGCUCUUCCACCUUUUGUUAUUCAAAUUAGAAAUUGUUGUCUCAGUAGCCCUUCAUACUUGAGAAAUAAUUUUUCUUGCAUAUCUUUUGGGACUUAAUUGUGACUUUAAGUUUUAACAGAAAAACUGGUGACUUUACCUGUUUAGUAGCCCUUAAAGUCAUAUCAUAUACGUUUCAUAACAAGACGUAAACCCUGUAGAUGAUUUUUUCCAGUUUGUGCUGCAAUUGUUAGUAUGAUGUUAGGAAAUCAUAAAGCAGCAUACUGAUUUGGCUUCUGCAUUUUCUGUAAAUAAAUUACAUGGGCAUCUUCAGUUAUUUCAUAAUUCCGUUUUUUAGUGCAAAUGACAGAGUUGUGGGUUGAUCUCUGAUUCAUCUCCGCACAAGAGUGAUAUCAUCGAUGUUUUAACCCCGAUGUCUAUAUAUCCCUGAUUGAACAGGUGGACAUGAACUUAGCAAGACUACUGGGAACGCAGGAGCAAGAGUUGGAUGUGGUAUGUAUUUCACUUCUCUAGCCUUUUGUUGUUGCUGACAAAUUGUUUAUAUCAAAUUCAGUAGUAGGGUCUCUAUUUUCGCUCUUUUUUCUCCCCUUCCCCCUUUUCGUCUGCAACACCCUUUCCUAAUAUUGGUAAUAUUGAUUUUCGACAGGUAUCAUUGGCCUUAAGUCAUCUGUUUGAAAAGAAGAAUUGCUUACAGAACAGAAAGCAAACAACCUAAUAAAUGUGGUUUAGUCCUUUCUUUUUUCUCAUUUGUGUUCAGUGUUCGUUAUGCAUGUUAUGAUAAUAUUCUAGGGGUUUAUGAGAUGAAACUCUGGGGACGAGAAGUAUAAUUUAGGGGUCUCUGUUAACCAUUUUGUUCUUAGUUUUUAGUUCCAAUCAUCUUCGAUAAAGUACUAGAUGCUUAGUUAAUUUGUUUUUUGAAUAUUUCAAACAAGCAUCUGGUUGAACAAUGCCAGAAGUGUUUACAUUUACAUUGAUACAAUGUGAUUGAUCCAUUUUGUUCCGGUACAAUACGUCGCUGACUCUCACACCUGAUCCCUGUAAUUCAUUGCAUCAGGAUAAAAAGAGACGUUUUUACGCUAGCGAUAUUCUAAUUAAUCUAACCUAAAAACCGUUGAAGAGAUUCAAGGGAAUCAAACUUUGAUGCACAAAACCUGUUUGGCUACACUCAAAUGUGCGAUAGACGUUUAUUACUCGAACAGGGCAGUCGAUGUUGCCUGGAUGCCAUCAGUGUUGGGGCUAUUUCCGGCGGCAUUCGCUAUGACGCCUUCAAUCUCAACAUCUUGGCACCCGUUUAUCACAAUGUGGAAUAUCUGGCUGUUCAAUUACGUCACUCCCUUGAUGCUUAUGUUUUUCGAGUUUGUAAAUCUCAGACUCUGCGAUCCAACCGCAAACGAUGGACCCAGCUUCUCUGCCCUCCUAGUUUCCAUACUCUCAUCCCCUCCUAUUUAGUGAUAUAAAAUGUUGACGUGGUUUAAUCGUGAUCGCACAAAUAGAAAGGUAUGGGAACUGAGAGGGCAGAGAAAUCAAGUCCAUGUUAGUGGACAUAUGUCAAGACGGGGUUUUUAACACAUUGGAUGAGGAGCAUUUUAAUUUUUUAUUAUUUUAAAUAAAUAUUUAACCAUAGUUAUGCUAGUGGACAGAUGUCAAGCUUUGAAGGUGAUGAAAAACAUACACCAUAGUUUAUUGUGGGGAGCAAAAAUGCUCACAUAAAUUGGACGUAGACAAAUUAAAGGAACCACGCACAACAAUGGCAAAUUGGAAAGAUCUAUUUGAUAAAGCCGGUAAUUUGUUUGAUAAUCCAUCAGUAAGUUAAUUUGGUACAGAUAUACUCAGGUACAGAUUGCCACCAAUUAUAAUGUCUCCAGACUUUGCACAUCUCCUUUUCGCCAUGCAAGAAUUUUACCGAUUCUGGUCGUGGCUUGUGCAUCAAUCGCCUUCCAGAAAGCUUUUCUGAAACUAGUGCUCUUAUCUGGUGGCAUCAAUCUAGCCCCUCAACCAUGUGUUUCUGUAAGAUGAAUUGUCGCGCAGCGAAGCAUCAUGUGGCUUGUAUUCCAUGAGAUAGCUGUGUGGAAGCUUCAAGUUCCGCUUGAUCGCAUCUCUUAAAGCCAUUACAGCCUGGUCAACAAAAGCAAGGUCAACAGAUUACACUACACACACACAGAAAGACUAGUCACACAAGCAGCAGAUUGCUAUAAAUUACCAACCUGAUGAUCAGAAGCAUUCCGGUUCCAGACACUCAAUAUAUCCUCAUUGAAUCUGAUGCUUAGUACCGCACCACAUAUGUUCUCUCCAUAAUCAAGCUGGUCACCCACCAAGGCAAGAACCUGUGCAUAACAUGUAAGUAGGCGCAGAAAUAAGUUCUAGUAUACACAUCUCUCCUCUAACGAGGAUAUACUAUGUUCAAAUACCCCCAUUCCCCACCCCCAAAUAUCCUCAAUUUAGAAAACAUAAGAGAAAGCCACAUUAAAUUAGCAGUAAAACACCAUAACAGAAACACUCUCAUAUAAACACAUGUAUGUGCACUAAUAUGUCAAGCACAUCCAGGCAUUUGUAUAUACUUCUAUAGGCUCCAUUCAGACAGCAUCCAGAGAUUAGGAAGUGUACUUCAGAAAAAUGCCAACAUGUGUGAUUCAGGGUUUAGGCUUUAAUGCUAAGGUUCUGGGUGACAAACCACCCCCAAGAGAUAAAACCUAAACCUGAAAGCAUCAACCCAUUGCCAUAAAAGUGUAAAAUGCUGUUCUUACGAUCUGGGAUCCUGCCAAACAGGACCCCGCACCUGAAGCUGCCAGAAUAUGCCUUCUUAGAUCAGUAAAAAACAAUUGGAAGCAUCACUUGAAUUGCAGAAAGAUUUUCAUUACUCAACAAAAUCAACGAGACAAAGUACCAAUGAAUAGAGAACGCAGUGUAGUAUUUUAAGUUACCUAAUCCAGAAAGUAACUACAUGGCUAACAUCUAUUCUAAAGAGGGUCUCAACAAGGACAAAAAAAAUGCAUUACUUGUAAGAGUUGGACUAAUAAGUGAACUCCAUUGUGGUAAUUCGUAAUUAAAUUCCCAUUUAAUAUUCCACAACCAAGAACUGUAAAUUUAACGCCUUAAUAGGUCCGAGCCAAGAUAAGCAACUCUAAGAAAAACAUAUGGUUUCUUUUUGGCAAACCAGGUAAUAAAACCUGUAUGGAUUCGAAGUUAGUUGUGUAUAUCCAGGUGAAGCCAAUCUUUCCAAUUUCAGACUUUUUAGGGUGCUACCAACUAUAUGGGGUGGAUGAUAUAUUCUUCGAAGGUAUCACUGACAUUUAGGCCAUAUGACACCGAAAUAAAGAGAAGUAUCAGUAUAUGUCAACGCUGAGGCAAAAAAAAUUCCCAGCAUAGCAGUGAAAGAGGACCACAAAUUUGAUGAAUAUUCACCAAAAUCUUAGUCCUCCUAUGUGAUGUGCAAAGCAAAAGCUUCUUGGUCUUGACCCAAGUAGGCUUCUUGAUCCUGUUGAGCUCAACAUUUAUGGAUAUACAAAGCCUACAAGUUUAAUCAGUGCAUUAAUUAGCAUCUCCUAAAGCUUCAUUCAAAAUUUAUGUAUUUUUACAAAAGCUGCAUUUUUGUAACUUUUACUAUAUGUUUUCACCAAUACUUUGAUAAAUCUGGACUACAAUGUAUUCCCUUAGGCUUCAUUUGGCAGCUCGGAUUGUAAUGACUAUUUUUGUCGGAUAGGAUAAAUAGCCAUCGGAUAGUACUAACUAAAUUAGUCGGGCGUUUGGUGCAAUAUCGGACUAAGGACCGUAUUAUUUAUACUGUGUUUGGUACUGAACUGGAUAAGAAUAGGGAAAAGGGAUUCUACUGAGCUUCUACUGAGAUGGGCAUGGCCGCAUGGCUAAGAUGCUCCCACAGAGAAGAGGGAUUCUGAGCAUCCGUAGAUGCUGCUAAUUUGCUGAGAGUCAUUGCAUGUACAAUAACAAGGAAUGGAUCUUAAGGGCUUCAAGUUAGUAAUCAGAGGGCAUUAGAAGAACCUAGCAAAUGGUAUUGAGAAAUCAAGGUCAAGGAGAUGAAGCAAGUCAAAAGGUCGAGGAGGACGGAGCCCAAAGCCCUUGCCAUCGAAAAUCAAGGUCCAGGAGGAUGGAGGAGGAUGGAGGCGCGAUCGAUGACUCAAAUUUGAGGUCUUGUUAGUUUGUGAUUCUGGGUUCAGGGCAAGGAGGAAGGGAAAGGAUGUGAGAGAUGAUGGAGCAGGGAGCGAAGCGAGGAGGACAAAGCAAGUUCUUAGGUAGUCCUGUGGUAUGUGGGGGGCCUCGUUUGGAGAGAGCAAAGCAGAGAGAGCGUCUGGAGAGGACCGUGUGUCUGGAGAGGAAUGAGAGAGCGUCUGGAGCGGAAGAAGAGAACCCGACUAAAUUGUACCAUGGUUUUGGAUGGUAUAAGCAAGUGGGUGUAUACCUAAUAAAGUUGGUGGACCCGGAUUAUUUAAGCUGGUGGCUAUUUAAUACAAACGGACACCAAACACCGUAUUCUGUAUUAUUAGUACUAUCCGGUGCCUUAUACAGUGUGCCAAACGAAGCCUUAGUAUCUAUUUUUCAUCCCUAUAGUUGGUAAGAAAAGAACUAUAGUAAAACAGAUGCAAUGCAGAAUAAUAAGUUAUACUGACACCCUUAACCUUGAUAAAUUAGUCACAAUUUCCCUUUUACAGAACUUUCACUUCAUGUCAAAUGUAUAUGCAACAAGGUAAUUCAAACAAAUUCUGUAGCACACAAAACAAAAGAUGGAAUACUAUAAUUUGCCAAUAAUCAUGAUUACUGUGUAUUGCAGGCAUAAAUCUUGAGAAAGGCAACAUGUAUAGGAAAAAUAGACGACUCUUCCAAAAGUUUAGAAAAUGUGAGAAUUUCCUACUGAAGCCACUUAAGCUUUCAGUAGGAUAAUUUUUUCAAAACUUGGCAUUUUAAAAAUGAAAUAACACCAUCAACUGAUAGUACGGCCUGGAAAUUGCACAAGACCAAAACAAAUAGAGAAAUUCCAGUUCUUAUCCUUACCAGGUCCUCCCAAAAACGGCCCGACACAGCCUUUUUGAAUCGUAUUAUCCAUUUGCCACCGUUGCAAUUAGCAGAGUCCUGAAAAACAAAAAAAUUCACACUAGUUCUGUCAUUUAAAAAGUUCAACAUCUCUGAACACUUGCAUUCUGUGGGAAGCAAUAAGAAGCAAAACUAGCCAGUGAUUAGAAAGAGGAAAAUGGAAGUCAGGUUUCAGAUAUUUACCUCCCAGAGAGGGCGAAUUCCAUCCUUGAAAAGAUGCAAGUCUGUUGGACUAGGCAAAGAAGAAGGUCGGGCUAGGUGGCAAUAACUGACCCAAAAACCUUCAACCUUAUGUUAUCCAAGAAACAAGAAGUCAAUAAAAAGAAACGAUUAGACUCAAUCACAUUACCUCCGGCAGAAAUUAAGGUAGAUGUUAUACCGUACUGAAGUCGACUAUUUUCUUUAUAUUGUCUUCAUAUGAUGUCUGGCUCCGGAUUCCUGGAGUUCGGCGAGUGUACCAAAAUACGAACUUGUGCUAAUGAUAAAAACAUAACAAAAAUAAGUGCUACAAGGACACAAAGAUUACCAAUUGGAACUUGCAUUUCAAACAAAAAAUGGAGGAACACAAUUUGGGCAUGUGAAAGACCCACAGUAGACAAAGUGAAUCCAACGAAACCCGGUAGCGUUUACAAAACUGACGAGAACAAAAGACGGAGAUCAAAAUAAACUGACUCAAAGAUAGAUAAAUCUGCAGCAAGCCAACUCAUUCAGCGCAAAUUAGAAGAUUAACAGUCUAAUCAUAAUAAAUUCAGCUCAUUGAGCAGAAAUUCACUAAUGAAAUACCACAACUUUAUCUAGAUGAACAAAUCACUUUAUCUAGAUGAACAAAUCUUGGUCAAUCAAUCUAAACCCUAUACAUACACACAUAUAUAGAGAGAGGGAGAGAGAGAGAGAGGACCUUGAGAGGAUGGAGGCCAGCUUUGAGGUCGCGAGCAUGACGUUCACGAACUUCAUCGGAUUCGUUGGGAUGAUUAUCGCGAGAGUCUAAGAGUGCUUGCGCGUAACUGGUGACGUUGUUGUUGUUGUUCUCAUUGUUGUUGUGGUUCGACUCCUUUUCUGCUAUCAACUCCAUCCUCCCCAAAAGCCCUAAUUCCGUCUUUCUCUUCUCUUCUCUCUGUCUGUCUGUCUGUCUGUCUGCAACGCACAGCAACAACGGAAGAACACCGUAUGAAGUGAAGGAAGAAGAAGAGAAACGCGGCCGCUGGGCUUUUCUUAUGAGAUGGUAUUGGGCUCAAUUUCAAUUACCCGCAAUUGGAUUUCAGGUUGACCUUAGCGCUGGUUUGGUAUUGCUGUUCUUCGAAAAUAAAAAUGAUUUUAUUGUGUUGUAAGAAUAAACUCAUUUUUGCUGCUUCACGUUUUCAACUUUUUUUUCAUCCAAAACUGUGAAAAUAAGCUAUUUUAAAGUGUUUACCAAACACUUUUUUUAGCACAGUUUUUUUUUAUAUCCACUUUUUAUAAAAGAACCUCAAUACUAAACCAGUACUUACUUACUAUUAUUAAGAGUAUCUCUUUGCAACCAAAAAAAUGCAUGAAAAUACAAUUACACUCUCCACACAUAACUAUUUUUUUUUUUUAAUUUUAAAAAUUACACUACGAUUUUGAAUCCGAAGAUAGAUUUCAAGAAAUAACAGAUCUCUUUACAACUAAUUUUAAUAAAGGGGUUUUUUUCCCAAGUGUCACGGUAAUAUCUCUUGAACUUUCAACUUUUAUUUUGUAGAAAUUUCAAAACUUGUAUUUUUUAUAUUUUUAGUUGCUAAAAAAAGGAGAUUAUAAGUUACUUUGAACCACAUUAUUGUUAAUUUUAUUGUGAGAUUUAGCAUAUUCUCUCACUCGCGUAAUGUACAUAACAUCAUCAUUUGUUGAGGAAAAAAAUAAAACUCAUAGACUUUCCAUAUUCAAGACUUAUAUUGAUAAGAUAGAGAAAAUAAAUAAAUUAUAAACAUAAAUAUCAAGAUAUUAAUAAUUUAAUUGGCUCUAUUUAAUUAUUAAAAAUGUAAUUGACUCUAACGUAUUUUUUUUAUAAAUAUAUUAUAUGACUAGUCUGGUUUUAAUUUUGAGCACCAUUUUUAUUCACAAACGAGGCCGCCGCCGCGUGGAGGAAGGAGGAUACAGAGAAUUUUCAAUUUUGAGAGCUACCUUUCCUCUCCCUGGUUUUUUUUUUCCAAGAUAUUUUUGUUAGAAGAAGGAAUGCGGGUAAAAUUCCAACACCAGUCACCACCACCACCAACUCCAACCCCAAAAUUUCGCACCCUUAUCUUUUCCUGCAUUUCUUCUAACCCCAGAUUUUGUUUCUCAUAAAAACUCAUACCCAAUUUUCAUUUUUUCCAAUUUUACCCUUCUCUCACCUUCGACUGGUUAUUGUUGUUCAUCGUCUAUGGAUAAAUCUGUAAUCUUUUUGUAUAUCGCUGCCUUGACAACUUCUCUAGGAUUAGUUUCUUCUUCUUCUGUUCUAUGCCCUCACGACUCCGAUUUCUUCCGAUACGGCCUUCAAUCUCAAUGCCCUAUCUCGAUCUCCCCCCACCCACCCCUCAAGGUACGGUUUACCCUUCCAAUUUCUUACAUAACUCGUUAAUUAUCCAUUUAUUUGUUAAAUUACUGUUUCUUUUGUUGUUGACUUUGUUGAUUAUUGUAAAUCUCUUAUUCUUUUUUUUCCUAUGGGUUGGUGAUGUCUGAAUCCAAUUUCUUCAGUUUUCGAGGUUUUAAUUGCAAGAUGAUGGUUGUUAUGCCAUGCAUUGUUUCUUUGUUAGAAUGAUGAAAUACGAUUACAGAUAAACUUCGUAUGCCAUGUAUUUUGUCUUUGUUGGAAUGAUGAAAUUCCUUAAGUUUCUGAAUUUGUGAUCAACGAGCUAAAGAAAGAAAAUUAAGAUAGACAUUUGAGAUAGCUUUGUUACUGAAAUAUACAAAUAUGUAUUGGCUUCAAGGGAAUAUAAGUUAUAUAACUCCGUCAAAGUGCUAGGUCGCCUAUUAGAUAGCGUUUCUGUCCAGUCACUCCACGAGUGCGGUGUUAGUAUUGCGUUAUCCGGUGAAGAGGCUUGGUAUGAAGUAAAUCUUUGUAUGAGUAAGCUAUUAUUUUUUGUGCUUACAUAUAUGUUUUGCUGCUUUGAAGAAUCUGCUGAGAUAGUUUUAGGUAAAUGGUGGGUUUUGGUGGAAAACGUGCUAUGCUGCAUGAUGGAGCUAGAAGCUUGGCAAAUGUUAUAAGUUACAACAAGUAGGGUGUGUCGUCGUGUGUGGCUAUGGUUCAAGUUGGUGCAUUGUAUGAUUAAUCCUACAGAGAAACGAUAUGAACAUCGUGUAUGUAUAGGAUCAUUUUGGGGUUGCAUCAAAACAAGACUAUUGCCUUGCACCGAAACUCUCUCUAAUUUGGCAUUAAAUGCAGCAGUUGUUUCAUUCCCCCUUUUACCUACCAAUCCUCAGCCACACUAUAGGUUAAACUAGAACUAGUUUCAUAUAAGGGACUCGUGUUUUCAGAUUGUAUAUUCAUUAAAAAAAAUAAAACAAAAUUAAAUUUAUUGUUCACCCAAAUUAAAAGGCGAAGAAGAAAGUUGGUUACUUUAGUUAGACGUAAUGUUUGGACCAUUUUACCAAACUUAAUGUGUUGAACUUUGUGAUCAUGUAUGCUUCUACAUUUGGUGAGAAUGUUAGCAUUACAACAUUAAAUUAAUCUUAAAGUCAUGUGGUGAUCUCUCUCGGUAACUUAUGAUUUUGUGGCACAUAAGGAACUUGGGUAGUGCAUUCUCUUACAGUGGUUUUAGUACAUUUGGAAUGCCUUUGUUGUCCUUUUAUCAGAGCAUCUUAUUUUUUAGAGGUUGUGAAACACUGGCUGUUAAUUGUUUAUAUUAUUGCUGAAAAGUUUAUGUACAAUGAAAGUGAUUAUGAUGUAUAAAUAUAAUAUGUAAAGUUGAUUAGAGGUUGAUAGUCUUAAGUGAAAACUGCUGCACGAUAGUCUUGAAACAAGGUGUUAGGGAUAGGGAUAUAGAUUGCUGGUUCCGCUAAAGUAAAGUGUUUUGGGGGAUCCAAAAAGAGUAUUGUGGUGGUGAUAUGAAGAAAUAGGGGCUGGUUAUGUACACAUGGUCAUAGCAGUGCCUGAAUAUCUAUGGAAAAGACUAAAUUCUAGGUACCAAAGCGACUCAAUAUUUAUUAGAAAUAUGGUCAGAAAUUUUGUUGUUGACUAAGGAUGCAUCUCAGCAAGUGCCAUUAAUCUUUACAGUGUUUUCUGUAUUAGAAUGAAAACCGCAAACCUUAAGAAUUUGGAGUGCAUAUUCAUUGUUAGAUGUUUUACUUUUCGAUCCAGGGGAUGUAAACGAGGUUUGCUGCUUUUGUAAGUUGAAUUUAGAGUUUGGAUACAGUGCCUUGGGGAAAAACAACGGGGAUCCGUUUGAACAGUAAAUGAUCCAUCUUUUAAAUGCAACGGGGAUCCGUUUUUCAAUCUUUAUCAUAUUUUUACCAGUACAUUAUUUUAUUGAGUCAUAAUAAUCAGUUGAUGGUAGUAUGUCAUUGUUUUGAAAGAAUACAACAGCAUGACAUUCUUGUUCCUUGUAAAAAAUGGAGACUUCUGAAUGUUGUUGCUUAUUAUUUUUAUUUCUGCAGGUGGAUGGAAACUUCCUAGACAGAGCUUUGGCAUCGCAACAGAGGACUGAUUAUGCAGCAGUGCUCUUUUAUGCUUCCUGGUGCCCAUUUUCACGCAUAAUGUAUCCUACAUUUGAAAAGCUCAGCUUCAUGUUCCCUCAAGUACAACAUUUGGCCAUUGAGCAAUCUUCAGCCCUGCCAAGGUAAGCUUAACUUGGUGUACUUUUGUCCUCUAUCUAAUUUUCGUGUAAGAUUGCAUUUGUAUAUGUGGUAAGCUAAUUUAUUAAUGUUGUAGGCCAAACAUUCAUUUCAGGAAAAAGAAAAUAUAAGUGUAACUGUGUAAAUUUACUGAGUAUUUUGUUUGUUUCUUAAAAAAAAUCUGUGCAUUCAUAAUGUUUUGUAAUCUAAUUGUCAAAGAAAAUUCUACAGAUUUGUUCUAGUUUAAACUGCAUAAUAUCCAUGGCCUUGGAAGGCAAUUUGUUCAUUUUCUUAUAGUUAUUACUAUACCGCUUCCAGCAAUGGAGGAGAUAUUUACCGUAAGAUAUUUAUGGGAUGCAAGAAAGUUACAAUAUUAUCUGUUCUUUGAAAACAUUAGCUACAUCGUCAUGCUGCCUUACCUGCCUUUGCUGUGUUGUAUUGCAGUGUGUUCUCAAGAUAUGGAAUACAUAGCUUCCCUUCGAUUUUAAUAGUCAAUCAGACAUCAAGGGUGCGUUAUCAUGGUCCAAAAAGUCUCUCCUUGCUUGCACAGUUUUACCAGAAAACCACAGGUAAAAUUUUCUUAAAUUGAAUAAUAUUUAUGCACGUGCAGUAGGAAGCUUACCUAUUGUAUUCUUUUCCUUCUUCCACUUUUUGCACUAUUUGUUACCGCAUGUGUUCUUGAUGCCUUGUGUCUUUCAGGACUUAAACCAGUUCAAUAUUUUGAUGGCGAUCAAAUAGUCAGCUUAAACAUUCGUGAAAAAUCUUUAAUCCAGUCAAUGAGUAACAUGUCACUCAGGGAGAUAUCAAGGAGGGAACCCUACUUAGCUUUUGCCAUAUUGUUUCUCUGUUUGAGGGUGAUUCUGUAUACAUUCCCAAAGGUAUUGACUCGCCUCCAAGCUUUCUGGGUCCUAUACGUUCCCCAUUUUAACUUGGGAAUAUUUGGGGAGACGAGUCAAAUUAUGGGGCGUAUCCUCCCCAUGGUUGACGUUAGGAGGAUUUGGACCAAGCUGAGAUUAUGCAAGACGAGGAACUUCCACGAGGGAGCAAAGAACGCCAGGGUUUGGGCUUCUUCCCUAACUUCUGUCUCCUUGGGCGAAUCUUCAUCUGCUCGAUCAUCGUCAUUGUCAUGUCAUCUUAAAUGCAGUACUUAAAAUCUUGCACAAGACAAACUUGCGUAUAAAUCUCCAACUAACGUGUAUCAUCGAUCAUAAUCUGCUGUGAUGCUCUCGGGGCAGGUAGUCCUCUCUCUUUCUUUUCCUCUUAUUUUUACUGGUAGUGAUGAUAGCUGAAGCUGUCCUCCUUUGAGUUUGAGUUUUUUUUGGUGAAAACAAACAAGCAUUGUAAAUUUGAGAAUAGCUUUCUGUUUGUAAAUUAAUCGUCAUCUGACGGAACCUGUAUGGGGUUAUACAAGUUUCAUUGUUCAUGACCAUAAUCUUGCUUUCACUAAUUAUCAUGUUCCAGAUAAUAGUUGGGCAUAUUGAGUGCUUGUUGAGUAAGGAGCUCUGCAUUUUUUGGGCAUUCUUAAUUUGCCUAAUGUAAUCCACGACGUGUUGGUUAAACAUCACAUUCCAUAUCGAACGACUUGCCCACACAAAGAACUCUGCUUCAUCAUUGACCGUCUCCGCCACGACGUUACGUUUGCAGCUGUUAACUAUGACCUAAUGUCUUUUUGGUGAGUGCCGGCGUGCCAAUUCGCAACCGAGCUCGGUUGGACGAGUAGAAUAGUGUGGUAGUGGUGUCGGAUUUGUUGUUGACUUAUGCACUUGAGCAACUACGGUUGAGGAAGGAACGCGUCUUAGCCUUGUUCUAGAACCAGAAGGUGGCUAGGUUGUCUAAUUAACUAUGAAGGUCAAGAUUGUCUGCAUCGAGUUCAGCGUGCGUUGAACUGAUAUCAAGCUGUAAUGACAAAGGUAAUCAAAGGGGAGAAGCGUUUUAAUGGUGAAUGUGGUUAAGUCGUGUGAAUGUCGAACUGCAAAUGCACAUAAGAUUAACCAGUCAUAGAGCACUCCACUUCAAUGGGAAGCUAAUGAAGUGACUUCUUUGGGCGAAAUUAAGAAUUCUUCGUCAACCAAGACUUGGAAGAUAAUCAACCAAUCCAGAAGUAGUAUUGUUUACUUAUCCAAACUGAAUGUGCUCCUAUGUUGCUUGAUUCUACAGCACCAUUGUUGUUUACUCAUCCAAACUGAAAAUGAGUUGACUGAGGUGUGAGAAGGGUUUAGUGUAGAGCAAGGGUUUUCACGUUGAGAAUUUGAGUUAUUUGUUGGGUUGAAGGGGGUUUUUCUCAUUGCAAAUCCUCUUGUAUUUGUAAGAACAAAUUUCCUUAAUGCCCAAGUCUGUUGAGUUGUAAAAUUAUGAUAAUAUUCAAAUUCUUCGACAUAUUCAGAAUCAUUCUCAACGGAAACGUCGCCAAGUCUCGCAUUCUUCGAUUAAAGCUCUUAACCUAAUCCUAAUUGGUACAAUAAGAAAUUUGAGGCCUUGCAUCGUGUGAAUAAUAUCGAAUAGUAUUCUCCGGUUUACAUGAGCAAUAUCAACCACAACUCUAAAACAACUCAGAAGUGUAAAUAAGAAUUACCGUCAUCACAUGAAGCAUGCUUACCGUGCCGACAAGUUAACCCACCACACCUAGCCAGAAGAAGAUUCUGAACAUGGUAAAACUCGAUCGUUCUUCAUUGAUUCAAAAACAAUUUCACUUUGAAAGAGUCUCCUCAACAUUUCUUAAGAAAGAAAAGAAACCAAUAAUAAAGAUUCCAUCAGAUGGACAGUUGUACGGCCCUCCCUUUGCUUGGUGUUUUUUAACUUUUUGCUUUUGCAUCAUUGUCAUCCAAAGCAAACUCAAACAAGCAACCGACAGUUCUAAUUUCCUUUCUCUUGAGCAGAAAGUGUGCAACUUUCACAUGGAGGGAGGAUCAAAAGAAAGAACCUUUGGUCCUUGAACAUUAAUUAACCUCUAACCCAAGUUACACAAUAGUAAUCAAACUUUACACUUAAAAUAAAGCCAUUAACAAUUGAAAAGAAAUAUAAACCGAACCCAUCUGGCAAGGCAAACCUUGCUUUCUCUCUCUGGUGGGUCCCCUUUAGGAGCACCAUGCAUCCUUCUCUUUGUCACUAUUAGAAAGGAUAAGCACGCCCUUCAUUCAAACCGUGUUAGAUAUCUUGCUUGCUGAAUGGUGGAUGAAUCUUUCACUCCAAGGGCAACAAGACACAAUCCAUCCCAUGUACAGUUAGAAUCUCCCCACAAAACUCCAUGAAAGCCACCUUCUUUGAUUCAAUUAUUAUUCAACAUUUCCAGUACCCAACUUUGAAAAAUAUUUCCCGAUUUUAUUUUAUAUAGAUGAAACACCCUUCUCCUUUUUUGAUCGUCUAAAUUCAUUGAUCACAAAAUAUUUCUUUUUUUGUUCUUGUUUGGAAACGAGAUGGAUCUUGAUGAGUGGGAAUACCUCCCUGACGAUGCGUUUCUUGAUUUCCAUGAAGAGAGUGCGGACAAGAGGAUUUUCUCAAGCAAGCGAUACAACUCUUCUGAUAAUUCAAAAAGUGUUUUCAACAUGAACUACUUCAUAAUCCCAUCACCCAGUUCUAGGUCAAAAGUCAUUCACGAGACACCACCACCACAACCGCCAACACCACCGCCAUCGGCGUCGCCAGCUGGGAUUGAUUCAAGGCUUGUUCCUGUUCCAAUUCAACUGGAACUACCUCCAAGCUUUUGCAAGGCCUCAUCACUCCCACAAGAAGAACAAGAAGAAAAACAAGUAAUCAAAGUCUCCCAAGUGGAUCAAGACACACAACUGUCCCAAGUUUACUUCAAGAAAACUUGGGAAAAUGAAUUUGCCGACAUGAAAAUAUUGGACUCCCCAAAGUCUCCCACCUGCAAAUCACCCAAGUUUAUGCAUCAACAAACUGAUAAGUUUCAGUUUGAUGAAAAUUUAGGUCAAGAAAUCACCUCUCCAAGGACGAAAGUUGUUGACCAAAACAGCUUGUUGGAGUCAUCAGAAGAUACCAAAGAGAUCAAUAACAGCAACAACAACAACAACAGCAACAACAUCUGGAAGCUGAGUUUUACAGGAAUCGGUGCGAUUUGCUCUUUUGGUUUUGCUGCUGCUACCAUUUGUAUUAUCUUUUUCGGUGCCCAUCAGAGGAACAAACAGUAUCAGCACAACCAGAAUCGCUUCCAGAUCUAUACUGAUGACAACAAGGUUAGCAAAUUUAAUUUUUCUUCUAGCUCUUAGCUACAUAAUUAGUCCAAUUAAUUACAUAAGUGCUAUUUUAAUUUCUUAAUUUGUUUUCUUUUUCUCUUUCUUUUUAGUUAAUUAAAAAUUGGCACUCGUCCAAAACAUUGUCUUAUUAAAAUUUGUUUGAUUAAUUUUCUUUAUCAAAUCUGAUUAGUUUUCUAAUACACGUUAACAUGUCCAGUUAGUCAUUAAACAUUAAACUUGACCUGAGUUAUAUAAUAUAAACAAGAUGGUGACUGGUUACAAAUUACCGAACCCAACAUGAUGUUUCAACCAUGCACAAUAAUAUCUUCCGUGUGGCGUCAAAAUGCAUUGUUGUAGGUUUAUUUGCCCCAUUUUAGGAUUGUCAAUUGUACUAGAGUUGAACCAAUAAUAAUUUAAUCCCACUUUUGUUAAUUUUUGGAUGUUUGCAGAGGUUUAAUCAGGCUAUGGAACGUCCAACCAAAUUGAAUGAAGCAUUUUCAGCAGCUAGAGGAGUACCCCUCCCUAGAGCUCAUGUCACAUAUGGUGGUUACUAUAAUGGUUUAUGAACAGCCGGCGCCCACUCGAUGAAAUGAAAGUUUUUAGUACGGUACGGUACUGCGUGAGUUUGCUUUUGCAAUGUACUUGUACAAGAUAUAUAUAAUCUUUCUUCUAAGCGUAUAAGGUCAAUAAUUGCGCGUUGCAUGCAUGCGAUCGAUGCUUGUAUAUUUAGAUUCCGAAUCCCUUCUUUGUAUAGUAGAUUCCCAACUUUGUAUUAGUUUGGCUACACACAUAUUAUUUGUAUUUGUAGAAGAUAUAUAAAAGUUCUCAUUUCUCACUUCUUUUCCGCCAUCUUGAACCUCUUUGCACUACAAGAAAAGUGAACAAUAACAAAGAUGAGUAGUUAUUUAGUUGUUGCUGCUUGAGUGCUUGGUAACAACGUUGUUAUCAACGAGAAAAAAAAUAGCAAAAAGUUAAAAAAAACAAAUUAUAAUGUACUAGUGACAUUGUGGUGUGGUCACUUUUCACCAAUUAUUUUCAUUCGCAACCUCGUUAUUGCACUAGCACCAACAAUAAAAUAACUACUAAUUUUGGUAACUGUUGUUAACUUUUCUUGUAUUAGUGUGGUUGAAAGGAAAUUUAUAUUAAAAAGUAACACACCCAAUUUCCUUUUCGUUAUCUUCAUGUAAAGGCCAAUGGUGGAUGAUGGAUCCCAUCCCAUGCAUCACAUGGAUGACUAAUGAACUUUUAUAAUCUCGACUGAUCGAUAUCGUCUUAUCAUUAUCUAAGCAGUUUAGUUUUCAAACAUGAUUACGUAAUAAACAAUAUCCUUUUAUCUUGGGUAAAGUCUAAAGCCAGAAAUAGUUUAUUCAGCUGCUACCUAACUUUAAUUUUAUAUAUGCAAUUGUUAACCAUUGCCAUUAUUCUUCAUGUUUUAUACGAUUUUCUAAAUUAUUCAAAAUUACAAGAAGAAGAAUUCUAAGUACAAAAAAAAUGAAUAUAUAGUUCUAACAAACUAGCUUAUAACUCACAUAUACGUUACAACUCCUGGAUGGUUUUGUUCAGCUAACGCUUACUUUUUUACAAACUAAUCUUUCUUUCUCUAUGCUCUUACUCUAUCUGGAAAUACUUGAUCCAAAUAAUUGAUUAGAAGCAGCUAAUUAAUUGGUUGCCGAAUCAGAUUACUCAUAUGCAAGAACUUAAAUGGUAGAUAUUUUGACAGGCCAUGAGGGGAACUGAUGGGAACACCAUACAUAUUCAAACAAAUGAUAUUACUGAGUCAUGACCCACUUCGAACAGAAUUUGGUUGCUUAAUUUGUCAAAUAUGUGAUGACCUGUGCUUCAUUACAAAAUUCAAGACGUGAUGUUUAUAGGCUACAUUCAAUAUACGAUCGAGAAAUAAUUCACAAACGCGAACUGGUUCUGCUUGGAGUGACCCUCAAGGUGUCUCCACCAGAAUGGACUUUAUAACUACGUUAAAUAAUUUGGUCUCUUGGAAUUUUGGUUAAUUUGAUUGAGUACGAUCUCCAUCAAAGACUCUUCUUCAAGACUUUAGACACCCUGGUGGCUGGUGCUCAGAGUUCAACCACGUACGUCAAAACAAAAGAAAAAAAAAUGAUUUGGAAACAUUUGAAAGAAAUAAAAAUCACUAUAUACGUUGCCCAAUUAGUGAGAUUCGUAAAUAUACUCAAGAAGGCAAUUAAUUAGAAAACCUGAUUUUAAACAAGUAGUUACGAUAUCAUUAUUAUUUGAAAUUAAUUUUCAUUUUUAGGUGAGUUUUUGCUCACCUCUUAAUUAUGGUGUAGCGUUUCUUUUCUUUGUGUUUUUCUUAUGACAAAAACGGACUUCUUUUUGCCCUCCAAUUUAAUUGUUAAUCGCUAUAAAAGUAGUUUGCAUUCCAAGUUAAUGUGACAUCUGUUUCUCUCUCACUUUUCUCUUUAUUUCUCAAGACAAACAAGAUACUAACAAUGAGCAUAUAUUGUCCUAAUUGCCUCCUCCUAGUCCUCACCGCCUUGUUGUAUCUUUUCGUUGCUAUCACCGCGUUUGGAGUAGGAGGAGGAGAAGAGCACCUUUACCCUCCCAAGUACCCUCCUCUAAGGGGUGGGUAUUUCCCCUUUGACAACCUGAACGACCCACGUUUGAGGGAGAUCGCAGAGUUCGCCAUUUCCAAGUACAACAAGAUUCAUGACCAAAAACUAGUGUUGCAAAAGUUGGUUCAUGGACAGUUCCAAAUAGUGGAGGGAACCAAUUACAAGCUUGUCAUUUCGGUUCUCAAUUCUUCCAAGAUCUUUAGCGGCCCAAUCAACUAUGAGAUCAUUGUGUUCGAAAAUCUUUGGAGGACUAUUAAGGAACUGAAGUCCUUUGUUCGAGUCCAAAUUAAUAAAACUUAAAUCCAGUCCACCUUAUUUUUAAGGUUUCUGGAGUCCUUUCUCAUUUCUUUCUUAUAUUUUUUAGAGCAUUAUCAACUAAUAAUAUAUAAGUUACUUUCACAUGAUGCAUUAUGAGUUCGAUUUUUUGUGUUAGUUAAUCAUGCGAAGGUGGCCAAAGAGAGGCUAAAAUGUCUUUGUGAGUCUUCCCGACUUCCGAAAUGAAUGAUUACCGUGGUGAAGCCACCAACUAGUCCUCUUUUUCUAAAUAAAAAAACAACAUAAUACAAACACAGUUUGGAAACAACUCAAUUUCAUUACUUUUCUCAUAUUCUCCUUUACUCACUCUUUUUUGUUCGAUGGCAAAUAAUUUUAUCGUUUGUGAAAUAACCAACAAAACGAUAUAAGAACAUGAAAAAAUUAAACUAAUUAACAAUCUCGCAUGUAAAAAAGUAAAUUUUUUUUGGGGGUAAAGACCGUGAAGUGUCUGCACACCCGAAAAGUGUGACCAAUAUCUACUCAAGGUUUGGCUUGACACUGGCCACAAAGUGCUUUCGUAAAAUUUCUGGCAAAUAUAAAAAACGACACGUAGUUUUCUUUUUGUUCAUGUUUGUUUCGUCCAUAUAAUUUGGUGAAGCUUUUGACGUCAAAAAGAGGAAGGGCUAAAUUUUAGUAGAUGAUGCAAAAAAGGAUAGUGACAUUGAUCCAUAAGAAGCUCAACAAACUCUUGAAAUACCGGAAGCUAAUUUGAGGAAAGCUAAAGGCAGGAGACAAACAAUUGAAGUUAAUUUGUUAAACCCUCCGUGCCUUUCCUUUUUAGUCAUUAAAACCCACAAAACAAAAGAAAUAAUAUCAUUUUUGUUGUAGGCCUAUUUGAUUGAAAGAUUUAAGGUUUAGAGAGAGAGAUAGGGGUUCGGCAAUAUUGAGAGAGAAGAGAGAUUGAUUUAAUUGUGAGGUGUGUUUGAUUCACCCCAUUGUGCCUUUAUUUAUAGUAGUAGGAAGGGUAAAACCUUUCCCUUUAGAAUUACAAUAUUUAAUAGAUAAUCUAAUCUUAAUAGGAAUAUAAGAUAUUUUCCCAUAUUCCCUAGGAUUUACACAAUCACAUUCCUAUUCUAAAUAUGACUGCAACACUCCCCCUUAAGUGUGUAAAUACUCAACAAAUCAUCCCAUCAGAUCUUCAGCAGAUAAGGUAGAAUAGUUGAUGAAGUCAUCGGCACAACGGGUGAUCGCGAGUCUCAAAUUUAAGUGAAGUAUGCAUUUGUAGUAAAACUCACAAAACCUCGUUAUGGUAAAACCCAAUGCAUGGGGAAAACCCAUAGACUAAGGAGAAGAGUGAGAAGUAUGAUCAUCCCAUGAUGGGUGCCUCAUUAAAACCUCGUUAGGUAGCAAAACCCAGUGGAAAAAAUGCUUCUAAUCGUAGGGAAAAUAGUACAGUAAGAUCAUGUGAGUAUGCUUCUAGAUACUCUCCUUAAGUUAGACAUAACUUCUAAAUAAGAGAACUACAAACGAUGCAACUUAGAUAAUUUACGCAUAUCGAUUCCUUGGAUGGGUUUCUGAAAUGUAGACUUGGGCAAUAACUUGGUAAAGAGAUCGGCCAGGUUGUCCUGGGAACGGAUUUGCUUGACUUCAAUGUUCUGAUGUUGUUGUUGCUGGUGUGAUUAAAAGAACUUUCAUAAUAUGUGCUUGGUGUUGUCUCUUUUGAUGUAUCCCUUCUUCAGCUGCUCGAUACAUGCUGCAUUGUCUUCAAAGAUCAUCGUAGGAAGGUCAACGACUGAUGUAAGACCACUAGUGCUUCGAAUAUGUUCCAUAACUUCUCUUAGCCAAAAGCACUCACGCGAUGCUUCAUGUAGGGCGAGAAUCUCAGCAUGGUUAGACGAAGUCGCAACUUGCGUUUUCUUGGUAGACUUCCAAGAUAUAGCGGUGUCUCCAACGGUAAAGACAUAACCUGUUGAGAACGUGCUAUAUGUGGGUUAAACAGAUAUCCAGCAUCUGCAUAACCAACAAGGCGAGAAUCAUUCCGAGGGCCAUAGAGGGCGACAACACUUGGAGAUUAGCGAGUAUAGAACAAACCCAAAUUCGUAGUACCUUUGAGGUAGCGAAAAAUGUCUUUAACACCAUUCCAGUGCCUGCAUUUGGGUGCAUUGUUGUAUCUAGCCAAUAGAUUCACAGAGAAUGAGAUGUCAGCUCUAAUGCAUUGAGUCAAGUACAAUAAAGCCCCAAUUGCACUUAAGUGAGGAACUUCGGGUUCCAAAAUCUCUUCCUCAUCCUCCUUUGGACUGAAGGGAUCUCGUUUAGCAUCUAGAGUUUGAACAACCAUACGUGUACUCGAAGGCUUCGCUUUAUCUUCAUUAAAACGUCAUAACACCUUUUGGGUGUAGUUCGAUUGAUGUACUAGGAUUCCAUCCGAACAAUGCUCGAUUUCCAGGCCGAGGCAAUAUCGAGUUUUCUAAGAUCCUUUACCUCAAAUUCUGAUUUCAAGUGUGUAGCAAUUUCCUCAAUCUCUGCGGCAGUCCCAAUGUGGUUCAUGUCAUCGACAUAAACUGCAAUGAUUGCAAAUCCGGAAUCUUGAAAAGCUGCAAUCUGCCUCGAUUGUCAUCCACCAUUCUUGUUUUAAAAAUUAAAUUAAAUCAGAAAUUAACAUUUUGUAAAUUUCAAGAAAUUUUAUUCUGUUGAUGCACAAAAUCAGCGAAGACUUUGGUACAACAGAAAGUGUCAGGUUUUGUGACCUUCGCUUGGUUGCUUCGGUCACUAGUGAGGAUAAGUACGUAAAUGAAUAGAGACAGAGAAGCAAACACAGGAUGUACGUGGUUCACCCAGAUUGGCUACGUCCACGGAGUAGAGGAGUUCUUAUUAGUAGUGAAGGGCUUACACAAGUACAAAGGAUCAAGCUCUCAAUUUAGUGAGUUCUUGUGAAUGAUUUAACACAAAAUGGCAUUAGGCAAUAUUGUGGGGGAAUGACCCCUAUUUAUAGAAAAACUUGUAGCUUUGUCACAUUGACAUGUGUCAUGUUAUGAUUGGUUCUUGAUGUCGACACGUGCUGCGCUCUGAUUGGCUUCUAAUCUUGACACGUGUCGAGUAGUGAUUGGCCUCCUGGUCGGAGGGGAACUCUUCUGGGUCCUUGACAGUAUAGCGUUGGCCGGUGCUCGGUAGUUUCGGGAUUGGUCAAGUAUGGUACAAACAGUGCUCCCCUAAGUUCCCGAGUGAGGGAAACUCCUCGGUUGGGGACUUGCAAGAUCCAAUCCCUUGAGUAAUCACGAAACUUCUAAGUACCGAAGUGUGGUCUGAUCUUCAUCUGCCCUUCUCUGGAAGUACCUUUCCUCCAUCCGGGAAUGGUGUACUUUAGCUGAUGUUGACGCACAAGGUAAUGUAUCAAUUUCACUUGAAGCUUAGUUGUAGUUUCGGGCUUAGUCAAGUGUGAUACAAACCCUAUAGUAGGAGUCCCCCAAGUCGCCGAGCUAGGAGAUCUGCCGAAAGAGGUGACAGACAAGGUAAGCAGUCAAACUUCCAAGUAAGCAACCCAGGAUCAGAGGUUUGACUUCGGCUUCCGGUUGAUUGUUCUCCUUCUCCUUGUCUCUCAUUCAACUGCCAGGAUAAGGAGAAGCAAAUGGAUAAGAGAUGAUAUGAGAUACUUUUGCUUUUGAAGAAGUAACUUUCCACAGGCUUAUUCUUGAACUGUGCUGGAGGGUUUUCUGGUGCCCUUCAGAGUAUAAGGCCGACUCAAAAAUUUGAGGGUCAAAACAAGUCCAUCAAAUCUAGAGUACGUUCGACCUUGAUGAUAUGGGAUACUUUUGCUGUUGACGGAAUAAUGAAUGUGGUAUGGAAAGGUGUCGUGCUGUAGUGAUCUGUUUCAGCUCACCGUUGAACCUUCUGCUUCAAUCUUUUGCAUGGCAGAAGUGGUGUGCAACCUUUGCAUUUAAAUGGUCCUUCAGAACAUUCCUUCAUAGUGACUCAUCCACGCUUGGCAGCUUCAGUGUAAAGAGCCAAUAUCUGAUCAACUGUCAUGAGGUAUUUGCCGGUGGAAUUCGUGACCUUGACAGCAGUUGAGGAUGAGUACUCGAGAGCAAUGCUAAGUAAGCAACCAGGCAAAGGCUCCAGGCAGUCAGUUCCAAAUUGGAGGUUUGAUUUCAGGUUCCGACUGACUGCUCUCUUUCUCCUUGUCCUGCAGGUGUGGACAAGGACAAAGACAAAGACAGGGAGAAAGCAUGAUAUGGGAUACUCUUGCUUUCGACCCUGAUGAUAUGAGAUACUCUUGUUCUUGGUGUGGCUUAUUUGCUGAGGUAUUAUCGGGGGGAAAUAAAGCUGAGUAUUUCGAGAGGUUAUGUUGAGGGUGCCUUUUCGAAUGCGAGAAAGGGUUGAGCAUUUUUGCAGGUUUGCCUGUCCGUUGAGGAGGGAGGUCAAUGUAUAUAGGGAUUUCCCAAUAACAAGUAGUAAUGCUAUUCCUUUACCCUUCUUGGUCACAGCAAUGUAGUGGGAGCUGCCAGCUUCACGUGUUUUAAUUUUGUCAGAGCACUUUGAAAAAGUGGUAUGUGGUAUCUGGAAAGCUGAUAUUACGUGUGAAGAUUACAGACAAGCUUUAUCUAAGGAAAUCUGGCUCUCGAAGUUCUGAGAGUUGUGCCUCUUCGGUUUUCGAACAAGCAAUCCCGUCGAGGAUCUGACUCUCGAGAUUCGGAAAGCGGUGCUACUCCGGUUUUUGAGAAAGUAAUUAUGUUGGGAGUCUUUUCUCUCGAAUGUGAGUAAAGGUUGGACGUUCUUGCCAACCUGUCUUGCCGCAAAACACGGAGGUCGACACACAUAGGGACUUUCCAGUUGUCAAGCAGUGGUGCUGUUCCUUUACCCUUAUGGGUAAUAGUAGGGUAGCUGGAACUUCGAAAUUCUCGUGCCUAAACUUUGUCAGAGAUCUUUGACAAAGUUAUAUGUGGUACCCGAGGAGUUGAUGGUGCAUAUGGAGAGCGGUGAUUGAACAGUAAGAUUCACGUGCUUUCUACUUCACCAGAAAUCUUCGACAGAUUGCCCGUAAUUUCCGCAAAGCUGAUUGUGCAUGUGACAGGUGCUGACGAGGCUGAAAAAGCAGGUGCUUCUUCGAUUUCUGAGAUCGGCCCUCGUGGUCUCUGAGCAGCCCAGCUUUUGAGAAAGCAAACGCCUCUUCGAUUUCUGAGAUCGGCCCUCGUGGUCUCUGAGCAGCCCAGCUUUUGAGAAAGCAAACGCCUCUUCGAUUUCUGAAGCUCCGUCGAGUGCAGAUUUUUAUAGAGGCUGGCAUUAAGUUCCACAGCACACUUGAAUCUCUACCAGUAGAAGCUCAUUUCUUGCACUUCUAAGAUCUUGAUUUGUCUGACCUCUUCCUUCUUCAACACAUUUGAAAAUGUCUGGACCCUCCGACCGUCGUUUUGACUUGAACCUUGGAGAAGAGACAGCCACGCCUUCUCCAGACAACAUAUGGCGCCCAUCCUUCAUAUCCCCUACUGGUCCUCUUACCGUUGGGGAUUCUGUGAUGAAGAAUGAUAUGACCGCUGCAGUGGUGGCCAGGAACCUUCUCACUCCCAAAGAUAACAGACUACUUUCCAAACGGUCUGAUGAGUUGGCUGUUAAGGACUCUCUGGCUCUUAGUGUUCAGUGUGCAGGUUCUGUGUCUAAUAUGGCCCAACGCCUAUUUGCUAGAACCCGCCAAGUUGAAUCAUUGGCUGCUGAAGUGAUGAGUCUCAAACAGGAGAUUAGAGGGCUCAAGCAUGAGAAUAAGCAGUUGCACCGGCUCGCCCAUGACUAUGCUACAAACAUGAAGAGGAAGCUUGACCAGAUGAAGGAAUCUGAUGGUAAGGUUUUACUUGAUCAUCAGCGGUUUGUGGGUUUGUUCCAAAGGCAUUUAUUGCCUUCGUCCUCUGGGGCUGUACCUGGUAAUGAAGCUUCAAAUGAUGAACCUCCAAUGCCUCCUCCUUCUGGGGUUUUGUCAAGUACUGAGGCUCCGGAUAACCACCCUCCGGUGCUUUCUCUUUCUGGGGCUCUACCGACUGCUGAGACUUCCCCUAAGCAACCUUUGUGAAGGCUCCCUUUUGUUUGUUUAUUUUGACUCAUGUAUAUGUACAUAUUUGUGGCUUAUCGAAAAUAUUAAUAAAUAAGCUUUGCUUCAUUUCAACAUAUUGUGUUAAAUACACCAAAGCCUUCUUCAUAAAGUUCUUUGAAUUUUUGCUUUUGUUGAAACCUGUAUUGUUGAAGCUUUGUGAGUGAAGCAUGUAGUUUGAGGUAGUGUUCCCUUAAUUUCCCGAGUGAGGAAAACUUCUCGGUUGGAGACUUGAAAAAUCCAAGUCACUGAGUGGUUGUGAGACUUUUGCCGAGUAUCCAAGGUGCGUAGUAGCAUAUGGUGGGAGUCCCCCAAGUCUUCAGGCGAAGAGAGUUGCCGAAUGAGGUGUCUCGCGUGUUACUAAUGUUGUCAAAGUAACGAAUUCCUUGUUUCGAUUUGUCACACAUUCGUAUAUGCUUUAUCUAAAAAAUAUUUCCAACUUUUGUGUGUUUGAUGCUGCAUGCUAUUGACUAGACAAAAAGAUCAAAUGUGCAAUUAGUAGCUUUUCUCUCUUUUUCAUCUUUUCUUUGGUGGAAUUGCUUUUUCGUUUCCACUAAUCAGCCUGAGUGGAUGCAAGAUAACACCUUUCUCUAUAGCUCAGAUUGCAAAGUCGUCUUCAUGAAAGUUUUUCCUUAUCUUGUGAACUACAACAUAUCCAAAUUUGAGAGAUCCAUCGGAGUAGUACAACUUCAGAAAUUCAAGUAUGAUGAGUAACUGUUCAUCAAUGUUCUGUUAAUCCGUCAGACUUUGUUGUGAGCUUCGAAACUCCAUUUUCUCUUGUUCAGAUCAACAUACUUUCUUCAUCGAAGUUGUUCCUUAACUUGUGAACUACAACAUAUCCAAAUUUGAGAUCCCUCGGAGCAGUAUAACUCCAGAAAUCCAGGUAUGAUGAGUGACUGUUAUCAUUUGUCUGUCAACCCGUCAGAUUUGUUGUGAGCUUUGAAACUCCAUUUUCUCUUGCUUCAGAUCAGCAUGCUUUCUUCAUUGAAGUUGUUCCUCAGCUUGUGAACUACAACAUAUCCAAAUUUGAGAUCCCUCGGAGCAGUAUAACUCCAAGAAAUCCAGGUAUGAUGAAUGACUGGUUAUUAUUUUUCUGUCAACCCGUCAGAUUUGUUGUGAGCUUCGAAACUCCAUUUUCUCUUGUUCAGAUCGGUAUGCUUUCUUCAUUGAAGUUGUUCCUCAUCGACUCUUUCAUAACAUAUCAAAAAUUCAGGAUGAACUAACGGUUAAAUAUUUCCAGAUCUUCGAAACAUCACAACAGCUUCGAAAUCUGCAAGAAGCCGACUAUCAUGUUUGGAGCUUCAACACUUUAAUUUCCGUCGCUCAAACAGAAAUGGUUCCUUCUUGAAAGUUGUUCAUAUGCUCAAGAACUAUAGGGUGUCCAAAAUUCAGCUCCAUUGGAGAAGAGCAGAGGUUGCAGAAAUUUGAUAGAUGAAAGGAGGCGGAAGAGGGAGAGAGAGAAAAAGUCUCUUGGGUUGGAUUUCUAUUUUGGGGCAGAUUCCAAUUUUUGUAGCACCUUCAUUAUUGAUGAAUUGCUUGUACUUUUGUCCAUUAUGAAACUUUGGGACUUUGGCUUGUUGUUGGAUCUAUUAUAAUAUGUUUGGGAACAUAUAUAAGUGAAUAAAUAAGAAGGAAAAUUUUGGGCCCUUGUGGGUGUAAAACAAAAAAUGUUUAUGUUUACCCAAGUGUUUUUGUACAAGUUCAAGGGCAUCUUGGGUUUUGUGAACAAAAUUUGUUUAUUUGGAGCAAGGUUUUGUGUUGAAGCUUUGUAGGUGAAGCUUUCUAGGUGAAGCUUUGAUGGUGAAGCUUUGUAGAUGAAGCUUUGUAGAUGAAGCUUUCUAGGUGAAGCUUUGAUGGUGAAGCUUUGAUGGUGAAAGUAUGUAGAGGGAGCUUUCUAGGUGAAGAUUUUUUAGGUGAAGCUUUGUAGGUGAAGCUUUUUUAAGUGAAGCUUUUCGGGUGAAGUUUUUUUUUUUGGGAAGCUUUGUGGUGAAGCUUUUUAGGUGAAGCUUUGUGGGUGAAGCUUUGGAGGUGAAGCUUUUGGGUGAAGCUUUUUGGGUGAAGCUUUUUAGGUGAAGCUUUGUGGUGAAGCUUUUUAGGUGAAGCUUUGUGGGUGAAGCUUUGGAGGUGAAGCUUUUCGGGUGAAGCUUUUUGGGUGAAGCUUUUUAGGUGAAGCUUUUUUGGGUGAAGCUUUGGAGGUGAAGCUUUUCGGGUGAAGCUUUUUGGAUGAAGCUUUUUUUUUUUUUUUUUUUUUUUUUUUUUUUUUUGGCGCUUGACACGGUCUUCAUUUGCUUGUUUUGUAGUGACUGUGGAAGACGGAUUGCUUUCUGAUUGAGAAGGGUUCCGGCAUCGCUUGCUAUGAAUGUAAAAGAGUGAGGGCUGAGUUGGCUAAAUUACCUCUUUAUUGAAUUCAUUGCCAAAUGGCCUUCAUUACAUAGGAUGCCGAACGGCUAUAGCUCAACACUUGUACAUCGUGAGUCUAUUUGUAGUAGUACUUCAAGUGAUCAGCGUUCCAUGGAUGGCCAAGGGUCUUGCCAUCGGAGCUUCUAAGUGUGUAAGAGCCAGGGCGACUGAUGCCAAUGACUUCAUACGGUCCAUCCCAGUUUGGACUAAGUGUGCCUUCACUCGGGACUCUGUCGCAGAGUAAUCUUUUCUUUAAGACCCAGUCUCCUAUUUUGAAAGAACGAGGCUUGACCCUAGAGUCAUAAUAGUUGGAGAUGCGCUGCUUGUAGGCGACAUUCCUCAAGUGAGCUUGGUUUCUGUGUUCCUCGACUAAAUCCAAGUUGAGGGUGAGUUGUUUGUCAUUUUCACUUUGAAUGUAGUUCUGGACUCGGAAUGUUGCUUGCUCGAGCUCAACAGGGACAACCGCCUCUGUGCCAAAGGCAAGUGAGAAUGGAGUUUCUCCUGUUGAAGUCCGAUAUGAAGUGCGAUAUGACCAAAGAACUUGGGGUACAAAUUCUGGCCAACAGCCUUUAGCUUUGUCCAAGCUGGUUUUCAAAGUGCGCUUGAUUAUUUUGUUGAUGGCCUCAACUUGUCCAUUAGACUGGGGAUGAGCUGGAGAGGCAAAGCAUAAGUUGAUGUUGAACUUAGAGCAGAACAACCUGAACUUCUUGUUGUCAAACUGUCGCCCAUUGUCAGUGACUAUCGCAUUGGGAAUGCCGAAUCUACAAAGGAUGUUCUUCCACACGAAGUCUUCUAUCUUUGCCUCAGUAAUGGUUGCCAAGGGUUCUACUUCGGCCCACUUUGUGAAGUAGUCCACUGCAACGACUGCGUAACAGACUUUGCCCUUCCCUGCCGGCAUUGGGCCGAUCAAAUCAAGUCCCCACUGGGCGAAGGGCCAAGGGCUGAUCAUAGGAGUAAGAGGCUCUGGAGGGGAAUGAGGAAUAGUUGCAUAUCGUUGACAUUUGUCACAUGAGCGGGAUACUUUGAUGGCAUCCUGGUGGAGUGUUGGCCAGUAAUAUCCUUGGCGAAAAGUCUUGUGUGCUAGGGACCGAGAUCCAGCAUGAUCUCCACAGACUCCCUCAUGUAUUUCCCGAAGGACGAUUUCCGCCUCGGCAGGCGUAAGACACCUUAAGUAUGGCAGGCUAAAACCUCGCUUAUAGAGUUGAUCAUUGAUGAUCAGGUAGCGGGUAGACUUGUAUCGAAUUUGCUUAGCCUGGACUUUAUCAUUUGGGAGGGUGCCAUGAGCAAGGAAAUUAUAGAUCGGGGUGAUCCAACUAUCCCCCUGUUGUAAGUUGCAUACUUCUGCGGCCAUGGUGCUUGGUGUUGCCAACAGUUCGACAUGAAUUUUUCUUCCAAUCUUGUCUUCCACAGCUGAGGCGAGGCGAGCCAGGGCGUCUGCAUGACUGUUUGCCGCUCGAGGAACUUGGGUGAUCUGGUAGUGGAAGUGCUUGAGCAAAAGUUGUGUUUGCGCAAGAUAUGCUGCCAUGGAGCUGUCCUUAGCAUCAAAGUUGUUGGUAACCUGGUUGACCACUAAUUGGGAGUCACUGAAAAUAUCAAUUUGUUUAACCCCGAGGUGUUUGGCCAAACGUAAUCCUGCUAGAAGGGCUUCAUACUCGGCCUCAUUGUUUGAUGCCUUGAAUUUGAAACGAAGAGCAUACUCCAUUGCUACUUUGUCGGGCGUAGUCAAGACUAGUCCCGCUCCACAGCCCUGUUGGUUGGAUGAGCCAUCAACAUACAGACUCCAUGCUGAGGUCGUUGAUUCUACUUUCUGAGCUUCCGAUGGUAAUGAAGCUACUGCUUCAGGUGUAGAAGCAAUGUCAACAGGAUAUGUGAAGUCGGCGAAUGAAAUCUGCUACUGCUUGGCCUUUUUCGGCUGGUUUUGGUUGGUAGGAGAUGUCAAACUCACCCAAUGCUAUCGCCCAUUUGAUCAUUCGCCCAGACGUGUCAGGACUUUGGAGUAUCUGUCGAAGAGGGUGAAUUGGUAAGCACGAUGAUGGCGUGUGCUUGGAAAUAAGGGCGAAGUUUCCGAGCAGACAUGACCAAUGCUAGAGCCAAUUUCUCAAUGUUGGAGUAGUACCGUGUCUCCGCAUCUUGUAAGGCCUUUGCUAGCGUAGUAGACAGGGCCGUUCGACACCAUUGUCCAUUUCGAAUGAGAACAGGAACUUACUGGCUGAAGCUGAUACCGAUAGGUAGAUAAUGAGAAUGUCUCCUACUUCGGGCUUUUGGAGAGUAGAGGGGCUUUACUCAUGUACUCUUUGAGGUUUUUGAAUGCCUCGGCACAUUCAUCAGUCCAUGUAAUGUACUUCCUACUUCCCUUAAGUGCUUUAAAAAAGGGAGCACAUUUGUCUGUGGCCUUAGAAAUGAACCUGGUUAAGGCUGCCACCUUGCCAGUAAGGCUCUGGAUGUCCUUUGAAGUUACCGGUUCCUUCAUGUCGAGGAUUGCUUUGAUCUUCUCAGGGAUUAGCUUCAAUGCCUCGUUGGCUAAUCAUGAAACCUAAGAAUUUGCCAGAGCCUACGCCGAAGGCACAUUUGUUGGGGUUUAACCUCAUUCGAUACCUCUUCAAAAUAGUGAAAGUUUCAGAUAGGUUGGUGAUGUGUUGGUCAGCAUGUUUGCUCUUGACUAACAUAUCAUCAACGUAAACUUCCAUGCUCUUCCCAAUCUGCUCGGCGAACAUUGAGUUGACUAGUCUCUGAUAAGUCGCUCCUGCAUUCUUUAGGCCGAAAGGCAUGACUUUAUAGCAGUAUAGUCCUCUGUCGGUAGUGAAGGCUGUGUGUUCUUGAUCCGAAGGGUUCAUGAGGAUUUGGUUGUAUCCUGAGUAAGCAUCCAUGAAGCUCAGGAGUUCACACCCGGCCGUAGAGUCUAUAAGUCUGUCAAUAAGAGGAAGAGGGAAGCUAUCUUUCGGACACCCUUUGUUUAGGUCGGUGUAGUCAACACACAUUCUCCACAAGACCUUUUGAAGCAAAAGACUUUCUUUGGUCGGAUUUUUCUUAACAAGGACCACAUUUGCUACCCAUGUCGGGUAAUUGACUUCGCGGACAAAGCCUAUGCCUUUGAGUUUUUCAACUUCUGCUUUCAUUGCCUCGUAUCGUUCAGCGUCAUAAGAUCUUCGCUUCUGUCUCACCGGCUUGAUCUUGGGGUCAAUACUCAAACGAUGACAGAUGACAUCGGGAGAGAUGCCUGGCAUGUCCUCGUAUGACCAGGCGAAGACUUCAGUGUUCUCUUUCAAAAAAGAUAUCAAUGCUAACCGAAGGGGUGGUGACAAUGUGGUGCCAAUCUUCACCAUGCGAUCUGGAUAAUCUCUUGAGAUAGGUACCUUCUCCAACUCUUCAGCAGGUUGGGCUUGCUGGGUGAAAGAGUCAUCUCGAGGAUCAUCGGGUUGAUUGUUGCUAUCAGGAAGAUCCAAGUUCGCUUCAUCUAGGCUGGUCUUUGUGACUUGGUCAUGUACAGACAGGGUUUCCUUGGGUCCGGGCAAGUGUUGUUGCUUAACUGAAGUGUUGUAACAUGAUCGUGCACUAAGCUGAUCUCCUCUGAUGUAGCCGUUGCCAUGGGGGGUUGGAAAUUUCAUCAACAGCAUAUGCGUGGAUACCAUAGCCUUGAGAUCAUUGAUGCCUGUGCGCCCAAAGAUGACAUUGUAUGCCGUUGGGCAGUCAACCACUAGGAAGUUAGUGGUAAUGGUAGCCGUGUAAGGGCCUGUACCAAUAGUAAAGGGUAAAUGUAUGCUCCCUAAGGGUUGCACGAUAUCACCGGAGAAGCUUAUCAGAGGAGAAAUCGAGCGAUCGAGCAAGUGUUCAGCUACACUGAGUGCCCUGAAAGCUUCGGCAAACAUGAUAUUGACCGAAGCCCCUGUGUCUACGAGGAUUCGUCGAACAUCAAAGUUGGCUAUGUGAGCCUCCACGAUCAAUGGGUCGUUAUGAGGGUAGAUGAUGCCUCUUUCUUCCUCAGGGUAGAAACAUAUCGGAUCCCAGUUAGGCUUUUGAUACUUCCCUCCCCUGAUGUCUUCCACGUGAAACACUUGGUGACCAGGCCUCAGAAUUCGUUCACUGUUUUUCAUGGCCCUAUUGGAAGAUUCAGAUAUGGGUGUGCCGCCGCUUAUGGAAUAUAUGACAUUCACCUGGCGUUGGUUACGGUUAUCCCUUUGAGGGUGAAGGAGGAAUUGAUCAAUUUUUCCUUCUCGUGCCAAAGCUUCAAUACGAUCACGGAGGAUGAUACAUUUCUCGCUAUCAUGGCCGUUAUGCUCAUGGUAGCAACAAAACAUGCCCGCGUUAUUCGGGGGCGUGUAAUCUGGGUGCCUCGGCUUUGGCUUUGGUAUCAGGUGAGCUAUGCUGGGGUAAAUGGCCGCGCAUGUGGCAUUCAAGGGCGUGUAUGUCUCAUACCUUGGGGUAGGGGGUAUCUUGACGCGGGUUUGACCCACUGCAUUGACUGCCUGGGGGCGAGCGUUAUUGUGGCGAUACCCUUGGUUAUCGGGAUAGUGUCCCUUACUCUUUUUACUGAAAUGAGAGUGGUGAGGAUGGAAAUCCUUCCUCUUGCCUUGAAAUUGAUAUGUCUGUUGAUUCGGCGAAGCAUUAUGCAAGGCAUGGGGAGGUGCCACUGCUGUUUGGAAAGUCGAGGUCUUCUCAUUUAGGUGAGUCUGGCUUCCACCUCCCACUUGUUGAUAAAGGAUGGUUGUAGGGGGUUUCUCCUGAUAUGUCUUUGCCUCGGCGGAGGCAUGGUUAUAAGCCUGCGCCAUCACCUCAGAGUAAGUCUUCCAAGUAUUGGCAUUGAUCAUGUAUUUAAAGAAACAAUCACGUAGGCCUGCCGUGAAGGCUUUGAGGGCAGUCUUGUCGUCUGCCUCGGCACACCGGGAGUAUUCAUGGCUGAAGCGGCCAGCAUACAUACGUAAUGACUCGUCUGGCUUCUGGCGGAUAGUGUACAGGUCAUCUGCAGAGUGCAAGCGAUCGGUUUGGAAAAUGUGUUGGGAAACAAAUAGUUUCCUCAAUUCCUCAAAUGAGUCUACCGUCUCAGGUGUAAGACGACAAUACCAAUUUAGAGCUCCGCCAGAGAGGGUGGAGGGGAAGAGAAGACAUCGCUCUUCGUCGGUGUGCAUCCGGUAUGCCAUGGUGGACUCAAAGAGGUUAAGGUGCUCAAUCGGGUCCUCUUUUCCAGUAUAAAGUUGCAAGCCAAGCUUUUGCUUUGUCUUUGCUUGAAGGGGGGUGUUGAGGAUCCUCCUUGUAAGAGGGCCAGGCCUGGGUUGGUUCCAGUCAGGUAUUUCAGCCUGACGUUCAGCCUUCAACUUGUUUACUUCCUCAAGAAGUUGUAGGACAAGGGGGUCCUGAGCGGAGUUAUGUGUCCACUGGAGCUUUCUUUCGUAAAUCUCCAUCUCCUCUUGGAAUUAGGAAGGUUUGAUCAAGGGCAUGUGAUUUUUCCCUGGACUCGUUGUACUGGCUUCCAGGGUAUGUCUGUCGGAACACCUCUGAGUCCCCUGUACCCUCAUGUCUCUCUAGGACUUGUUGCCCCUUCCCCAAAUUGGUGGCCGGCUCGGGCCGUGGCAGGGGACCGAGUCUCUCAGAAAUCCUUGGGUCAUUGAUCUUUGAGCUUAUAUGGAUGGAAUUCUCUCGACGUUGCUUCAGGAAAUCCCGACAAUCGCGAAAGACGGCUUUCGAUCCUUCUGCCCCUUCAGCAAAGAGGUGUCUCCCUCCACUUCUCAUGGUUCGGGUCGAAGCAACUGGGUUAAGAGAAGCCUCAUGUUGAUUAUCAAGUCGAGGGGUAAUCUGUUCCCUAUCAGGGAUAUCUAUGUCGAAUGCAUGUGACCCUCCAUGUUGGAGGGCACCCAGUUGAUGGUUGACUUCCACGGGGGCAACAAGCUCGCGUGUCUGAGCUUGCCUAGCUUCGUGGAGUGUCUCGAAGAGCUUCUCAUAUUGCUCCUGGAGGACCUCAUUCCUCAUUGCUAUCUUGUUGUUCUGAGCUUCCAACUCAUCGACUUUAGCUUGAAGAAGAACUCGUUUUCCUUCCUUCUUUCGUUGCUUUCGCACUAUGUGCAAGGGGGGUGUCAUUCUGUGUGCUGUGGCUUCCUUCGCUUCCCAUGUUGGAGAGGGAUGCCUGGUCAAAAGAAAGUGUACGAAUGAUAGAAACCAGCUUGACACAGCUGAAGAGAGUAGGAAUAAGUGUCGUUUCCCACAGACGGCGCCAAAUGUUGAUGCACAAAAUCAGCGAAGACUUUGGUACAACAGAAAGUGUCAGGUUUUGUGACCUUCGCUUGGUUGCUUCCGUCACUAGUGAGGAUAAGUACGUAAAUGAAUAGAGACAGAGAAGCAAACACAGGAUGUACGUGGUUCACCCAGAUUGGCUACGUCCACGGAGUAGAGGAGUUCUUAUUAGUAGUGAAGGGCUUACACAAGUACAAAGGAUCAAGCUCUCAAUUUAGUGAGUUCUUGUGAAUGAUUUAACACAAAAUGGCAUUAGGCAAUAUUGUGGGGGAAUGACCCCUAUUUAUAGAAAAACUUGUAGCUUUGUCACAUUGACAUGUGUCAUGUUAUGAUUGGUUCUUGAUGUCGACACGUGCUGCGCUCUGAUUGGCUUCUAAUCUUGACACGUGUCAAGUAGUGAUUGGCCUCCUGGUCGGAGGGGAACUCUUCUGGGUCCUUGACAGUAUAGCGUUGGCCGGUGCUCGGUAGUUUCGGGAUUGGUCAAGUAUGGUACAAACAAGCUGCAUAUUCAGUUUUUCGGAAACUAGCAAACUAAUUAGGUAGGGGAAUGUUAUAACGUCUAUUAUGGGGGAAUACAUCUCCUAGCAAUCAAUCCUUGGGCGCUGAGAGAAUGUAAUAGCCCACAUCGCCCAAGGGUGAGGAUCUUGUAAGCCUUAUAUGUAUAUUCUCAUCUCUACCUAGCACGAGGCAUUUUGAAAGCAAUACCAGGAUGGGCGACCCACUGAGAAGUUCUCGUGUGAUUUCCCAGAAACAAAACCGUGAGGGCGUGGUCAGGGCCCAAAGCGGACAAUAUCGUGCUACGGUGGAAUCGAGCCCGGGAUGUGGUCGGGGCCCGAGGGUUACCCAUCCUGGGAUUGCUCUCGCGCGAACCGCUUAACUUCGGAGUUCCGAUGGAACCCGAAGACAGUGAGUAGCGCGAGAGAGCAAUCCCAUGAUGGGUGACCCAUUGGGAAGUUCUGAUCACGUGAGUUCCCAAAAACAAAACUGUGAGGGAGUGGUCAGGGUCCAAAGCGGACAAUAUCGUGCUAUGACGGAGUCGAGCCCGAGUUAGGAUGUGACAGAGAAGCCUUGCGCUAUAAGGCGUGCUUUGUAUCGCACUAUUUCAUUCUUCUCAUUACGCUUCCUCACGAAAACCCACUUGUAGCCAAUGGGCUUCAUGCGUGGUGGUGUAGGAACGAUAAGUUUGACCUGGAUUGCUUGUUUCCAGGUUCUACGUUGGCAUUCAUCGACGGAACGUGGUUCAAUGUUUUCCUUUUUAGUCAUUAAAACCCACAAAACAAAAGAAAUAAUAUCAUUUUUAAAUAUCUGAAAGAAAUAAAAGUCACUAUAUACGUUGCCCAAUUGAUCUGUAUCGAAGAUACUCAACAAUGCAAUUAAUCAGAGAACAUGAUUUUAAGCCAGUAAUUACUAUAUCAUUAUUAUUUGAAAUUGAUUUUUGUUGUUGGCUUAAUUUACUAAAUCUUUAUAAAGGAUGGAGAGAAAGAGUGUGGAGGCAAUAGAGAGAAGAGAGAGAUGUGUAAUUGUGAGAUGUGUGUUAUGACACCUAUUGUGCCUUUAUUUAUAGUAGUAGGAAAGGUAAAUUCCUUACCCUAAUAGGAUUACAACACUAAUAUGAUAAUGUAUAGUCUAAGAGAUAUCCAAGAUAUGAUAGGAUUUACAUAAUGACUUUCAUAAUCUAAUAGGACUGCAACAAUUUUCAUUUUUUGGGUCAUUUUUGGGUCAUCCUUUUGAUUAUGGUGCAGUGUUUCUUUUCUUUAUAUUUUUCUUAUAACAAAAAAGGGACUCCUUUUUGCCCUCCAAUUUAAUUGUUAUUCAUUAUAAACGUAGUUUACAUUCCAAGUUAAUGUGACAUAUGUUAAUCUCUCACUUUUCCAUUUUUUUUCCAGUGUUCUAAAAAACGGCCUAGGCGGCCGCCUAGGCGCUGGGCGCCUAGCAACCGAGUUGUUUUUGGGCAAAUCGGGAGGAAAAAUCGGGUUGGGCCUAGGCGGGCUAGGCGGCGCCUAGGCGGGCUGGGCGGCUAGGCGGGUUAGGUGGGCUAGGCGGCCCUAGGCGGUCCUAGGCGGUCCUAGGUGGCCCUAGGCGGUCCUAGGAGGUUUUUUUUAUUUUUUAUUUUUUAUUAAUUGCGUGCUUUUUUCUUUUUUGGUUUCAUGGUGGUAUACUUAUGGAAAUGGUGUAUCUAAUUUGCAAAUGAUGAAUUUACUACAAGUUCAUCCAAUACUUAUGGAAAUAGUGUACCUAAUUUGCAUUUUAUCAUUAUUUUAUUAUCCAUACAAGUAUAGUUUUUUUUAGGUGUCAAUAUGCACUUAUUUACAAGAUAUACAAAAAUUUACCUAAAUCCGCCUAGGCCGCCUAGGCGCUAGCCCGCCGCCCGACUAGCGCCUAGCGUUUUUUAGAACCUUGUUUUUUUCUCAAGAUAAACACGAAACUAACGAUGAGCAUGUAUUACCUUAAUUGCCUCCUCCUAGUGCUCACCGCCUUGUUGUAUCUUUCCGUUGCUGCCACCUCGUAUGGAGUAGGAGGAUGAGAAGAGCACAAUUACCCUCCCAAGAACCGUUCUCUAAGGGGUGGGUACUUCUCUAUUGACAACUUGAGCGACCCACAUUUGAGGGAGAUCGUGGAGCUUGUUAUCUCCAUGUACAAUAAGAUUUAUGACAAAACACUGGUGUUGCAAAAGUUAGUUCGGGGACAUUUCUAAAUAGUGGAGGGAACCAAUUUCAAGCUUGUCAUUGCGGUUGUCAAUUCUUCUUCGAUCUAUGGUGGCCCCAUCAACUAUGAUGGCGUGUUUACCAAUUGGGAGUGGAAUGGAGAGAAAUGGAAUUGAAUUCCUCCCCAAGCAUUCUGCAGUUUACUAGCAACUGGGGAAUCAGAUUUUAUGUGGGGUCCAGCCAAUUUCAGGAUUUCAAUUUCGGAUUUCUCUGGAUUUGGAUUCCCUCUAUAGAGGUGGUAAUUGAAUUCUGGGUAGAGAGCUCCAUCACGAAUCAAAAUUUUCUACCCAAAAUACCCAUGUAUAUUCCUAAAACAACUUCUACCUUCAUCAAUCACUCUCCUCUGUAUUUGUUUCUCUCACAACUCAUACCACCCCUUUGUAAUCUGAAACGCAGUAACACAGAAUGACGAACGCCUGCGAUUUGGAACAACGAUCGACCGGGGUUUGAAACGACGACACAACGACGAACAUGAUCUGGAACAACGAACGCCCAAAUUCUCAAGGAAAUUGCGAUUUGUAGACUCAAACAAAAGAGAAGGAAAGAACUUUUAUCACUUUCACCCCUGAAAAUUGGAUUUUUUUUGUUGAUGGGAUGGGUCGUGGCUUCGUAGUUCCUCCUGAGAUUGGAUAGUGGGGUGUGGAUACUGCGUACUGGUGAAAGAAAAGGGCAAGAAAGGGGAAAGAAAAAGAAUGGGGAAAGAAAGGGGAAAGGGUUGCAGAAAAAGAAUGCGGAAAGAAAGGGAGAAGAGAGAAGGAAGUAAAAUGUUAUUUAGUUUACUUUAUGUAGGUAUUUCUAAUAGGAUUUAGGGUGAUUAAGGGUUAGAAGCAAAUAAAAAUUGAUUCUUUCAUAUCAAAUUUGAAGUAAUCUAUGCAAUUAGGAAAAUUUAAAAGUUAUAUAAAAGAAAAAAAAUUAUUCUCUUUAGUAAAAAAUUAAAAAAAAAAUAAAAGAAUAAAAGUUUUACUAAAAAUAAUUAGCAUAUAAAAUAAAUUAGUUAAAAUAGGGGCACUUUAGUAAUCACAUUAAUUAUCAUUCCGAUUCAUGUGAAUUAGUAAAUAGUUUGUAUACAUCAAUGUCAUUCCUACUCCGAUUCUAGACAAUUUUGGUAAACAAAUUCAACAGGAAUCUAAUUCUGAUUCCACCUCAUUCCAAUUCCUCCUCAAUCCAAUUCCUCUUAAUCUGAUUACGGAUUAGUAAACGUGCCCUGAGAUCAUUGUGUUCGAGAAUCUUUGGAAGACUAUUAGUAUUAAGGAACUGGAGUCCUUUGUUCGAAUUCAAACUAAUAAAAAUUAAAUCCCGUCCAUCUUAUUCAUGGUCUUUGGGGUCGUUUCUCACUUCUUUCUUAUAUGAUUUGGAGCAUAAGAAAUUAAGCAUCUGCUAAUAAUAUACAAGUUACUUUUACAUAACAUGUCAUAAGUUCGAUUUCUGACGUUGGUGAAUCACAAAAUGGUGGCCAGAGAAAGCCUGAAAUGCUUACAUAACUCUUUCCAGUUAAAAAAAAGAUGGAUUACUGUCAAAGCGACGAACUGAUCCUUUUUUUUUUUCUAAUAAUAAAAAAAACAACUCAAUUCAUCACUUUUCUCGACUUCUCCUUGAACCACUUUUUUAUAUUUUUUAUUUUUUAUCCAUAACAAACAAUAUUCUAUUUUUGUGAAAUAACCAACAAAUGAUAUAGAAAAGGGAGAAAUUAAAUUAAUCAACAAACACGAAUAUAAAAAGUAAUUUCAUUUUUUAUAAAGAUGUCUCCACACACAAAAAAAAGUGGGACUAAUCACCAUUCUGAGUAGAGUGGAACGGCUUGACUCUGCUACGUAGUGCCCUCAUAAAAAUUCCGUCAAAUAUAAAAAACGACACGUAGCUUUCUUUUUGUUCAGGGUGUUUUUAUCCAUAUAAUUUGGCGAAGCCUGUGACGGCGAAAAGAGGAGGAGGGACUGGAUUUUACAGUCGUAGACAACAUCAACUUCUUCUUCUUCCCCGGGUCGCCGCCGUACGUAAAGCACGACUCUCUCCUUAUAACUCGCCCCGCAGCCGUGACCUCUGCCGGGUAAGAGAUUUAUUGCCUCUUCUAUUUUUAAUUCCGCGUCGUUCUCUAAUUUAGGAAUUUGCGUAUUGAGGAUUUAGGGAUGUUGCCAUUACAAACAGAUGAAUUCGAAAAUUUCCAACUUGUUCAGUGAAUGGUUUUCAGCGAUUUUUCUCUGCUUGUUAAUUUUCAACUGUAAUCAAUUUGUAAUAGCUUCUGAAAAGUGAAAACAAAGUGAGAUUAGUAUUCACUGAAGAUUCAAAUGGACAACGAAACGAUGGAGUUCUGUCUCUGAAUAACUUCUUGCUCAGUGUAAAGUCUGUUGAUCGUUGAUGCUUUUGUUCUAACGAAAAGCGGGUGACCGGAAAAACCAAACAAUUAAAUGUGCAGAUUAAGGAAUUAACAGGUUCCAUAAAAUUGGGGAAAUCUCAUAUUAACAAAGGGCACCGUAUAAUUUUUAACCGAGGAAAAUUGGCUUAGAAUUUCAUCCCGCCACAUUUUCCAUUCCUGGGUCUCUGCCUGUUCUACAUUCUAACAUGCAGUUCCAAAUGUCACUGCUGGUUUAAUUUCUUUAGACGAUACUUUUCAUUUUUGCUGCUGCAGAAUAUUUUCGAAAUCAUUUUAAUUGAGCUUUUGGGAAGGCUUUGUUUGACAGAGCGGAAAGCGGACUGUUUGUCGUUGGCUUCAGUGUCAGCACUCUGGUUGAAGUCUUUAACAUGGUUAGCCUUAUUUUAAUCACAGUUAUAAUUUUGAUUGUUAUUUGUCUUCUCUGUCAAGUAUGGUUAAAUUUUCUUUCUGUUUUUAUUCUCAGGAAGUGUUCAGGACGGCCAUUUUGCAGCCUGGCCCACCUGAAAGGUUUGCCCUUCAGACAGUUCAACAAGUUAUACAACCUCAGGUAACAACCAUAGAUCCUUCAUGGUCAGGGUUCUUCUUAUUUAUAUUUUUUGCUUCCCAAAGAUUAAGUCCUGUGUAAAUGCAUGCUUAGCUAUUUAUGGCUUUGCUUCUCAAGACUGAAAUACAGUUGUGAUUUCAUUCUCUUUCUGUUUGCUACAUAUGGAUACACUUUUUUUGCUACCUUUGUCCUAUAAAGACUCCAAUUUCUAAUUUUCCAAUGAGUCCUUUACUUGAUUCUAGGCUUUAUCCUUGGUGUUCAGGGGAGCAUUGCUUUCUUCACAUAUAUCCUGAUUGUACAUUAAUCACAUAUUUAAAUCUUUAUUUUUUCCGAAUUUUGUUGUUUGGUCAAUAAAAAUUGGGCCAAUUGAUUUCAUUUCAUCAUGACAGAAACAAACAAAGUUAGUCCAAGAUGAGAAUCAAUUGUUAGAAAAUAUCCUUCGGACAUUGCUUCAGGAACUGGUGGUAUGUUUCUCUUUCUUGUAUUUGUGAACAGAAUAUUUUGAUUAUUUGAUUAUACUUCUGAAGUUUACUGCAUUUCUAGUUUUUUCUGCAUAUGUUAGCAUGGUGGUCAUCCACAGGAAAUUAAUGUUUGUGAUACGCUAAAAAAAGGCCUUAUGCUUAUUUGACGUCACAGUCAUGUAUUCUAUCUAAAUCUGAAGUAAAGUAGACCUUGUUAUAUACUUGAUUCCCCAUCAACCUGAACCCUCUUUACAUAUUUGACAUCAAUACAUAAUUCUCUCUCUUAUGCAUUUGGUUUUAUUUGUAAUUUUAUGUCACGUAACUUGAGAUUCUCACAGUCUUCUGCAGUACAGUCUGGGGAGCAGAUAAUGCAGUAUGGUCAAUCAAUUGAUGCUGGAGAAACUGCCCAAGGACAUAUUCCACGUCUUCUUGGUCUGUACAUGUUUCUGUUAAACUAUUGCAAGCACUUAGUUGUACGUAUCUAAUGUUCUUGACUUGCUUUUUAGAAGAAGCUUAUACACUUUCUAAUAUAAAAAUUCCUACGUGUUGUGUUGGUAUUUUGAUAUGUUUCUUGUGGUGCACUCAGCAUAAAUCUUUAAACUCUGAGAAUAAUUUAUACAUUGAUGUUUUUCUGAAAAGAAUUCGUAUUGCUAUUAAUUUUUGUGGUUUAUCUUUUGACAUUUAAAUCGCACCUAACUACUUUUUGACAAAAUUCAGAAUUGACUUCUCAAUUGUAGACCUGUAUAUCCUCUAAUGUAAACAAUAAGCUUUUUUAGGUCAGUUCUUUGCCUUACAAGAGCUACUCUAUGGAAAAUGGCUUGUUAUAUUGGUUUUAGUGAAGAAGAAAAUUGACGAGUCUUAUAGAAUGCAUCUCUCUCUUGCUCUAUCUCCACAUAUAUACUACUCUCUUCCUCUGCCUUAUACAGCUCCUUUUAUCUUCUGAUGCACCAGACGUUGUGUUGUAUCUUUGUGAGAAAGAGCAUGUCGAAGGUGGCAUGAUCUUUCAGCUGUUGGAAGACUUAACAGAAAUGUCAACUAUGAGAAAUUGCAAAGACGUUUUCGGUUAUAUUGAGAGUAAACAAGAUAUAUUAGGAAAGGUUUGUGCUUUUUAUAUGUCAAUGGAUUAUUUUUCCUUGUUUUGUUUUUUUAUUGUAAGUUUCCCAUUUUCCUUCUCUUUUACAUCCUGCUGUACUUUAUAUGGUUCUCCUCAUGCAGCCUGAGCUUUUUGCGCGAGGAAAACUUGUGAUGUUGAGAACAUGCAAUCAACUUCUUCGUCGUCUGUCAAAGGUGGUGUUACUAAUCAUAGUAGUCAUCAUUGCUUUUACAGCCAACUUUCAUUUUUGAAACUUUCCCCUCUAUUGUGAUAUUUGUUUGUAUUUCAAACACCAAAAAUUGGUAUGCCAUUCAGAAGUCACAUUUAAAGCUGGUUGUAUAAUGUUUAUAGAAAAUAACAGGUGCUCAGGUUAAUAUGUGUUGUACUUGUAAUUAUGUAAUGGUGGUUACAUAUUUGACAUCAUAGACUUGAGGAUGGGGCAUUGUAUAUUUGUGCUAGGGAGGUUCUCAUGUGUUUCUCACAUUGCUCCAUUGUGUUCCUCACAUUGCUUCACUGUGAUAAACAAAAUUUAAAAUGCGGUAUGCAAUCAUAUUGAUAUUGUUUUUCUCUCUUUUGAUUUAUGAACUAAUUUUUUGUUUUUUGAAAUUAAGUGUUUUAGCUAUUGUUGUACCACUUCAAGAAGUCCUUAUUUGAUGAAACUAUAUCCACUUCGAUGAUUAAAUUUUUCUUGAAAAACUUAUUGUUAUAGUCAUGUUGUGUACUAAUUUCUUUGAACCUGACUCAUAGGCAAAUGAUGUGGUAUUUUGUGGACGAAUUCUAAUGUUUUUGGCACACUUUUUCCCAUUAUCUGAGCGUUCAGGUACCUGUUUGUCUUCAACCCUUGUCUUCACUUGUAAUUUAAUUGCUCUCGACCCUGGUGUUCAGUUGGACUAUAUAUUCAUGUUGCUCUUAUGGUUACUGUGUGCAGCUGUUAAUAUAAAAGGAGUUUUUAACACAUCAAAUGAGACAAAAUAUGAGAAAGACCCCCCUGAUGGUACAUCCUUGCUAAUGACAGUUGCUUGAUUUCUCAAUGUUGAUGUCAACAUAUUAUUACACAUAUAUCUGUAUAUAUAUCUAGUGUGUAUAACUUUUUGGUGAGUAUAGAUCUCUUAAGCAUAUAUGUUAUCCGUUUUAUAAUUUUCAGGAAUUUCCAUCGAUUUCAACUUUUACAAAACCUUUUGGAGUUUACAGGUAAACUAUGCAACUUGGAAGCAAUACGGAGCUAGGCUUUUUAGUUAUGGUUUCCUCUUCUCCAUUUUGAUUUGAGUUUUGAGCUUAGGGAGUGUCUAUAUAUAAUGCUAAAAGGUUAUAUAGUUUGAAAUGUUGUUAAAUAUUCAUACUUUGUUUCUGUAAUUCUUCUUGUAAACUGAUAUCAGUGAUAUCAUUCAUUAUGCUAAAAACUUGUCUGGAUGGAUUUUCAGGAAAGCUUCUGUAACCCUCCUUCCUUAACUCUUGGUCCUACCAAGUGGAAGAAAUUUACAUCCGGUUUAAUGGUAAUAACAGUCUUCUGACAUCUUCGUUUUAUUUGUCUUUAUGGUAUGCCAGUUUCUCUUUAUUUUAUUAUUCACUCAAAUAUUCUUUUCUUGAAUGUCUUGUUAGGUUGUUUUGAAUACCUUUGAAGCUCAACCAUUAAGUGAUGAAGAGGGAGAUGCCAAUAACUUGGAGGAGGAAGCAACAAAUUUUAGCAUAAAAUAUCUUACAAGCAGUAAACUGAUGGGUUUGGAGGUUAGUAAUGCUGGAGUGUUGACUUAGAGUUUAAUUGUAGCAGACCAUUAUUUUGAUUAGGAAUCAAAUCCUUGAAUUUUGAUGUUUUCUGGUGAGCACAGUUGAAGGAUCCCAGUUUCCGACGUCACAUUCUUGUGCAGUGCCUCAUAUUGUUCGAUUAUCUGAAGGUAGAGUUGAACAGGUCUUAAUAUUGAUUUUGGGGAAAUAUCAUUUCACCUUCCUAAUCUCUGGGCUUGUUAUAAUGGCCCUUUUCAACUUUCUGAUUGAUCUAUUUUUCCCUAUAGUACUCUAAUAUGGUAAAAUUAACUCUUAUUUUCUUGUAGGCCCCGGGAAAAAGUGAAAAAGAUUUACCUUCUGAAAGCAUGGUCAGUGUUGUAGUUAUAUCUUGUUGACUUUUGUAACUUUCUUCCUUCUUCUUUUGCUUUCAUUAGAAAAGAAAACAACUUUCCUCAAGUGGUGCUAUCUUUAGAAAGAGAAUUUACCUCGGCGGUGCUGGUUAUAACAAAAGAUGUUGACAAAAAAAAAAAGGAAUAAAUUGAGAUGCCUUAGAUAUGUUAUGAUUUUGUUAGCCUUGUUUAUCUCCAAAGUUAGGAAUUUGGAACAACGGUGGAUUAGAGUACUACAAUCAAAUCUCACCUGUAACUUUAUAUCAAUGUUCUGUGCUUGUGUUCGCUUAUGAAUGCAGUAUUACUAUUAUCCCAGUCAUUUGCAUCAGUUUUGUUAUCGUUUCUUCUCAAAAAAAAAAUGCUAAUUUACUCAUGCAAUUCUAUAAGUUUAUUGUAUUCAAAAGCAACUGAUGGUCCCUGGGUAAUUGAGUUGUGCUUGGGACUUUAUCUUAUCUUUAUUAAGAUGCAAAUGGACACCGCUUACAUUUUCUUUAAGCAUGAAAAAUUAAUGAAUUUGUGUAGUAUACCUUUCAUUGUGAACUGGUGGAGAGGAUUUACUUUCAUUUGGACACAGUUAUAGCAAAAGGUUUUGUAUGAUGCUAUAAAGUCAGCUUUAGAAUAUCUGUGCAAUUUAUGAUGUCUGCUAAAGAUUUCCUUGUUGAUUUCAGAAAGAGGAAAUAAAAUCUUGUGAGGAGCGUGUCAAAAAGCUGCUUGAGAUGACUCCGCCCAAAGGGAAGGAAUUUCUUAAUAAAAUUGAGCAUAUAUUGGAACGUGAAAGGAAUUGGGUGAGUGUGUUAUCUGGCCUCAGCCAUGCUAUUCUCAGAAAAUGUUAUCGUUGUUCUUGAGCAUAAUAUGCAUUUAAUCUAUUCUUAGGUGUGGUGGAAAUGUGACGGUUGUCCCCCAUUUGAGAAGCAGCCAAUGGAGAAAAAGGUGAUCCAAGAAGGAGCCAAAAAGCGGUAUGCAAUUCAGUGGCCUGUUUGUCUGGGUCCUGCUAUUCCUUUUAAUGUGUUUUUUAAUAAGAAAAAAUUGAACAAUUUUAAUUUUUCCUUUUGUGUAAGGUCUACAUAAGAAUAACUGAAGCAGAUAGAAGUAAAUUCAUCCUUUGUUUUCUAGCCCUGCUGGGCAAUUCUACUUUAGUUAUUCAUGGCCUUGGGAGUAGGUUUAUCUUUUAUGUAUGUUUUAGAUCUCUUUAUUCUAAACAGUGAUGCAUAUUUUGACUUGUCGUUUUGAUGUUUCGAUUUUUUUUGUUUCUGAAGUUUUGGGUUACUGGUAUCGACACAGGUGUAUAUUGUUUAAACCUUUGAUGUGUAGUAUUAAAGACAUUUCUAUCAGAUCUCAACUUUAUCUCUGGAAAUACUAAAGACAUUGCUGUAGAAAACUUCUAUGGGAAUAUUAACAACUUCAGAGAUUCCAGUGAUACUACCAUUUUACAUAACAGAGCAAGAACUUGGAAAUUGGUCAAAAUUGCGGUGACAUCUUUGGAAAUAUUAAAGACAUUCCACUGGUCCUCAAUGAUAUUGUACGAAGGAAUAAGAUUUACACAUUUUUUUGGCAGAACCCUGCCACCCAUAUGCUGCCCUGAUACCAGCUGAAACUUCUGUACUCACUUUCACUAAGAAAAAAGGAAACAAAACUAGACUGUUUUUGAGAUGAGGUCUUCUGACCAAGUGCAGAUGUUUUGCCUUGUGGUGGAGAUUGUUUCCUCUUACUUGAAUAUACGAAAUGAUUUGGUUUGAGAGAAAGACAACCCUACCCUCAUAAUGGUAUUUAGGAUAUUUUAAAAUAAGCUACAAUCUAUGCAGAAAAAUAAACAAAUUCACAUGCUAGAUGAACUCAUGGAUUUUUGCUGGUAUAUAUACCCAUGCCUACAAAUUAAAAUUUUUGAAUUGUUCACCAACUUUUAUCAGCCUUCUGUUUGUUGUGACCUGUGAAGAUAUUUAAUAAAUUUGCAGUGCUCAUUAUAAUGAACUUUUUGGUUUUUUUUUUGUCCUAAAUUCAACAGUAGGCCGAGAUGGAGAAUGGGAAAUAAAGAACUAUCUCAGUUGUGGAAGUGGGCAGAUCAGAAUCCGGUAUGCUAGAUUGCUAUUUAUGACAAGAUUGUUGAAAUAAAUCUGGCUUCAAACAUGACAUUCACAAGGUUUUGAAUAUAUGCAAUUAUUUUUUGCAACCUCCAAUGUUUCACAAGCUUCGCUGAUUCUAUAAUUAAAUAUUGAGAAAAAGUUUGAUUUAUUUUCAAGAGUGGCGGUGAUCAUCACGAGGAAAUGUACACCCCCACACUCACACGGUAUAUAUAAAUAAUUAUAUUAUCAGCUGUUAACAGAAAAAAGUUAAUAGCAUCUUGCUGAUUCUUCAUGGUUCAUACCUACUGUCCUUUCUGAAUUAGUACUUAUAUACUCAUAGAAUAUCAGUUCAGUUCUUACUAUAAAGAAGACAAAGAUUACAGAUCAAGUUGUUGAGGAAGAAACAUGUAAAUAUGUAGCAAUAUGUUCCUUUCAGUAUUGUUGACCACAAAAUUAAUUUGAAAAUUUUGGUGUUAUAUUGUUUAAUAGUUAUUUUUUCCUUGUCUAGAAUGCUUUAACCGAUCCUCAACGUGUUCGAACACCUUCCAUCACUGGGUACUGGAAGCCCUUGGUUGAAGAUGUAAGUACUAUAUACUUCUGAAUGUCCAAACUAGCAUGUUGUGUGUGUGUACUCGCGCUCACUCUUGUCCCUUCUCAUGCUAUGGAUUUUUUAUGUUCUCAGUAACUGUUUAGUAAGAUGAAUUUCUUUGAGUUACAGAUGGAUCCAGCAGCUGGAAUAGAACCUGAGUAUCACCACAAAAAUAACCGAGUGAGUUUUCUUCUGGAAUUUUUGGUCAAAAUCAGAAGACAAUCAUACAGAUAAAAGUUGGGUUGCAUUUUGACUAGGGUUCAUUGUUAAUAUAGAGUGCUAUUUUAUUUAAUAUCUGUUCAACUGUUUCACCAUGUGAUUCAAUGUGCAUUACCUCUUGCUUUUGAAUAUUAGAAUUGUUGAAACUCAAACUAGUGUUCCACUUAAAAUUUGAUUUUGUUUUAUCCAAUAGUAAAAUUUCAACAUGCAGGUUUAUUGCUGGAAAGGUCUUCGAUUUUCAGCUAGACAAGACUUGGAAGGAUUUUCUCGAGUAUGAAUAUAACUAUGUUUGCAUAGUUAAUGUAUUAUUUCAUUUUUCACUGAGCUUUACACCACUUGUGUGGAUGUCAUUGCAGUUUACUGAACAUGGUAUUGAAGGAGUUGUACCGCUGGAACUUUUGUCUCCUGAGGAGCGGUCUAAAUACCAAGCUAAACCAAAUGACAGGUCUAAACGUGCUAAAAAGGAAGAAUCAAAAGGUGCUGCACAUCAAUUAGAAGAAAGUCAGGUAUAUAAUCGGCAGUGUGUUGAAUUUCUAGUGUUUUAUUGUUGACGUCUUUGAUUCCUGUAGAAAGUUGAAUAUGCAAAUGAGGAAAUAAUAUGAAUAAUGUGUAUGUGUUUGUGUGUGCGUGUAUAUUGCCGAUGAGAUUUAGAAAGAAACAUCUUUAUUAUUUAGACAUAACGUUACAUGGCUGCAUAACACUUGAUCUGUGCAAUGCAUCUUCAGCCUAAAGAUUGAAAAAAUGAGAUGAAAAAUGUUAUAAACUUUUGCCCCUUUAUUGUUGUAUAUUUCGUGUUCUUUUUUGUCUUGGGGUAUAGGUUGUUUUCAAAUUUGAGAUCAAGUAAAUGCAUGUGUACGUAUAUGGAAGUAUCAGCAUUACUUGUACCCCAAGAAUUUUGACAAUAUUUUUUUCCCUGAAGAAUGCUACACCUGCAAGUGAAUUAGACGGUGAAGCCUCAGGGACGCCAAUGGACACUGAUACCAUUGCUGCAGCCGGCAACAUGUCCCAAGGUGGAAGUCCAAUCCCUGAUGAACAUCAGAAGCAAAGCUCCGAUGCGGAUGUGGGUCAAGAGGGAGGUCAGUUGGAAGCAGAUGCCGAGGUCGAGGUUGAGGCAGGGAUGCUUGAUGGUGAGGACGCGGAGGCUGAUUUGGAUCCAGUUGGUUAGCCCGUUCAAAGUUGGGAGUUUGCAUAUGUAAGAAUGAAUAUUUGAUUGAAAGUAGAUGACAUGUUUGGAAAUCCUAGAUUAGCAACAAAAAUUCCGACUAAUUUUUGUAAUGAGAUUGUAUGUUCGCCGGCCAAUGAAUGAACCACUCGAGGUUCCGUUUCUUCCGUUAAAGGGGAUUCAUGGAAAAAAUGGAAUAUAAAGACGUGUUCCAAGAACAUCAUUGAUACGUUGCUUGCGAGUCCCUUGGGCGGUCGCAGUCAGCCAUGGGAAAAGUAAGCAAAUGAAGGCAAAUUAAAUGCCAUUCGGGUUGUUUGAUCUUCAAGCUACUUCCUACCGGGUUACAUAUCACACAAGGAUGCAUGUCUGCCACAAAUUUGACCUACAAAUCAAACCCCCCGUGACCUUUGUUCAUUAAAUGAUCUCUUCACGAGAUAUUUCUUUUCACUUGUAAGUGAGACGUCUUAGAUUUGAAUCUCGUAGAUGAUGAAUUCGAUACCAAAUUAAGUUACCCAUUAUGUGAUUUAACCGAACUUAUUUCUCUUUAGUGUAAAAUAUAUCGUUGUAUUCAAACAAAAAAAAUUAAUGAAAUGCAUAGCGAAGCUUGCGUAUUAUUUACACAAGUAUCAUUAGAUUCAACCCUACUACUUAUCAAUUACAAAUGAAGGAGAGAAAUAUCAACAAACAAUAGUAUUUAGUAACAAAGUUGUUAACAAGUUUAAGAAGAAAGCAACAAUAUCAAAGUGUCAAAGAUUUGUAACUCAGCUGAUUAAGAAUAUUUUUGUACCGACUUUUGAAUUAGUUUUUUUUACUGGUAUUUAUUAAUUGUGCAGUAAAAGUAAGACAAACAAAACUCGAGAUCUUGAACAUAAAAAAAAAAAAGGUUCGAUCGAAAAAAAUAAAAAAAAGGAGUAGGAAUCCGAGUGAGAAGAAACACACACUCUGACACCCACGACAAAACACAAAAUUCCUUCCUUUCUUCCAAAUUUCCAAUUCCAUUUUACAUUUUACAUUUUACAAAUUUACCGCACAAAAUCUAAAACCCUUUUCCCUUUCGGAUUUUCUUUCACCCAAAGCUUCACUCCACACCACCAGAUUCGUUGAUACCCCUCCGUCUGCUUUCUGUUUGUUUCCCGAGAAAGUUUUUCCAUGUUCAAUUUUUUAUUGUUCAGAUUUGGAUUAACUAAUGGCCCCUGCUUCCGAGGUUCGUUGACUUAACUUACGAUUUUCUCAAUCUUUGAUCUUUGAUAAUCUGGUGGUACAAUAGUUCAGAUCGUUUGAUUCGAAAUUUGACAUAUUUUUUUUUAUAUUAUUGAUUCAUUGUUUUAGCUCAAAAGGGUUGUCUUUGUUUUCUUGGUUAAUUGAAUUAUGAUUGUUGAUUGUUGAUUUUUGAGUAGGAAAAUCAUGGAGUUGAAAUUGGAUUUGGAAUGUGAUGUUUGAUUGGGGAAAGUGGAAUUCUUGUUGUGUGCUUGAUGAGCCAAGAUGCUGUUCAAAUCUAAGAUAAAAUGGGUUGCUCUCUUUGUCCUCAUUUUAUCUUUUGCAUCAUUGCUUCGGCACAUCUCUAUAGCAAGAUUUUCGACUGUCGAUUUAGUCCAGUAUAGCGCAUUGACCGCAUUCCAUAACGAUUUCGAUUCUAUCUCUGGGAGGCAGGUGAGAUUUUGAGUCAUUUCUCUGCCCAUCAUGCGUCUAUUUCGAGUGUAUGUUCUUGGUUGUCUUGAUGGGCUUCUUUUGUUUUUUACAAUCAUGCAGAGUGUUCCUAAUAAGAAGCUAUGGGGGCCUGUGAAGACCCUGCAGUCUUUUCAGCCUUAUGCCAACCCCCGAGGCAACUAUCCUGGUGAUCAUCUUGCUCUGUUUCUUGCAUUUGUGUAUUUUCUUAGUUUGUUCGUUUCUAGGUUUAUCAUAUUCUUGCAUGGUAUAGUUUAUGAAUUUGACAAUUUGAACCCAUUGGUGAAUCCAUUCCCUCGCAUGCAUGACCAUCUCGAAGCUAAUGGUAACUGUUAUCUUUGUUAUACUGAAUUUGAAUUGAGUUCCCUCAUUCUAUGUUCUUUUUUGUCACUGGAGGAUUUGAUAACCUUGAACCAUUCAUAUUUUAGUUGAUUGAAUACUUUUAUCUUUUUACAGUUCCAAAUGAACAGAGCAAUGGCUUCAUUUAUGCAAAAAUAUUUGGAGGAUUUGGAAAGAUAAGAUCUACGGUAAGAUUUGUCAAAUAUGUGAAAGUGAUUCUGUGAUAAUUUGUAUGUGGUGUUCAUAAAUCUUUGUUAAUUUUCUAGAUCUGUGAUCUGGUCACCAUAUCCAGGCUUUUAAAUGCUACUCUUGUCAUUCCAGACAUUCAAGAAAGUACUCGCUCAAAAGGCAUCAGGUUCUUUUUUAGUUUGCUACUUCUUUUAUGCCAGUUUGCUGCGAUCAUAUGAUUCAUUGCUUCUUAUCUCUUUUGUUUUUUAUGACUUUGCCAGCUCUCAUUUCAAGAGUUUUACAUAUCUCUACGAUGAGGUGCACUUUAUAGCAUCUCUAAAAAACGACAUAGUCAUUGUGAAGAGUCUGCCAGAUAAUCUGAAGGCAGCAAGGAAAAGAAAUGAAUUCCCUUCUUUUAGACCCAAGAAUUCAGCUUCUCCAAAUUUUUAUAUCAAAGAAGUCCUACCAAAGUUAAAGAAAACCAAAGUUAUCGGCUUGAUCAUUGCUGAUGGUGGAUGUCUGCGGGUAGCUGAUUUUCUACUAGUUUAAUAGUAUAGCCUAUUUCAAAAUGUCAUCUGCUUGAGAAAAUAUGCAUAUUCUGUUAACAUUUAUAACCACAUAUUGUCAUACUCUUUUUUGCACUAGAACUGUCACCUAUGAACCAUUGUCUAUGAAAAUAAAUAAAUGUUAUCUAAGAACCACUUAAACAUUCAUUCUCUGUCGCUUUCCUAUUGGUUGAUAGGGAUCAUUCAUUCGUAUAUGAUUAUGUUAGUAGUGAGUCUGUUUUGUUUCUUUUCACUUAGUGAUUUCUGUGUUACAAGCAUGCAUGCUUGACAAUUAAGUUUAAGUGUUGAUGCAAUAUAAUCCUAUUUUCAGUCAAUCCUUCCACCAAACAUGGCCGAGUUUCAAAGACUUAGAUGCAGGGUUGCCUUCCAUGCACUUCAAUUCAGGCCAGAAAUUCAAAUGCUUGGACACAAGAUGGUGGAGAGGUAUGAAUCUAGCAACGCACCUUUUUUCCUGAAGAUUUGAACCGAUAGAGUGAUAUUGGUGUUUAGAGAACUUGAUUAGUAUAGACUGCUCUUAGACCAUCUGAUGCAAGAUGUUUUUAAUUAAAUAGAUUUUAUUUGAAGGUUACGGUUGAGUUGGAAAGAUUAGGUAAUAGAUAGAGUUAACUGGAGGGAUAGAGUUAACCAGAAGGAUGGAGUCAACAGGAGGGGUCGAGUUAUGGAGUAAGGAAAUUUUAUCUUUGAAAGUCUUAGGUCUGGCUUUCUACAAAUUGGAUGGAAGUUUGUAUAAGGAAAAUGGAAACUAUAAGCCUAAUGGAUAUGCCUAGGUUUUCCAAGCAGUCAAAGUGAACACAUCCUCUUAAAGAGGUUCAAAGGCCACGUGAAGUUUCCUAUAAUAUCCGCUAGUGUGGUCAUAUUCUUCUAGGAAGGGGUGAGGUUUUGGUUUUUGCUUGGGGAUUGAUUCUAUCUCAUCAGAGUUUAGGGAUUAUUACUUUCGUAUAUAUUACUAGAUUAGAAGGCAGUUAUGUGAUUAUUUUGUGUCAUAGCUUUUAUUUAUGUAGCUUCUGUAGAUGAUGGAUCUUUAUUAGUUUCCUUUUUUUUUUUUUUUUUUUUUGAGAAGAAACGAUAACACUUUAUUAAAAUAAAAACAAGAAUUAAAAAAUAGUGCAUAAGAAAUCCACCAUAUAGCAAAGCUAGCUAAGACCUCUCAAAUAGAUCUGAUUACAAGUAACAAUACCUCAACCAAAAUCAUUUUACGUGGCUUCUGGUGGACCCCGUUCACUUCUUGUAAUAAUUUACUUCUAAGAACUAUUUUCCUUCAGUUGAUCAAUGUGGCUUUUAUACUCCAAUAGGUUACGUGCAUGGGGUCAACCUUUCCUAGCGUAUCAUCCUGGUUUAGUGAGAGAAACCUUGGCAUAUCAUGGCUGUGCUGAACUUUUUCAGGUAAGAUGUUUUAGCCAGUUUUAUCUUUGGUAGUUGUGAAAAUAUAAAUUGUUGAUCUACAUGCUUAGACUUUAUCAUAGUAUUAGAGUAAUAGAACCUAAGUUUGAACCACCUCCAAUUAUGAAAUUCCAAUAUUAAGUUGAGUUCCACACGUUGGUCCUUAGUGAUGGAAAGAGGUUCACAUGUGAUGGGUGUUACAACUUAACAUAAUUCUGUCCAACACAUACACACAGCUUAAACUUUCUGGUUACAAUCUUUUUCAUAUCUCUGCCUGUGAAGUCUAAGUUAGUGUUAAAACGAUUGUUCUCCUUUGUUCCUUGGUUAAAAUCUAAGUCCGAUAAAAAUUCAGUUUUGGAGUUCUCUCCCUCCUCUUGAGUACAGGUGGUUUCUACCUUAAACAACUGCAAAAUAUUAACAGCGUGUCCAUUCACUGUCAUGGUUAUCAAAGUUAUCUUGCUAACUUGCUACUUUUCUGUAGGAUGUUCACACUGAACUCAUACAAUAUCGAAGGAAACAAAUGAUUAAAAAGGGCAUUGUUCAUGAGGAACUAAGCAUAGAUUCACACUUGCGUAGAGAAAAUGGCUCAUGCCCGCUGAUGCCUGAAGAGGUAAGCUCAGUACUAAUUUGAGAUCCAGCUUAUGUAUUUGUAAAUUGUAAGUACUGUUGUGUGGCUUUUAGUCCAGCCUGAUGCUUCUUUCUCGUGGUUCAUUUUUUAUUGUUUUGAAAAUUUCACUUUUCAAUGCCAUAAGAAUGUCUAGAAGAUUAGUAGUGAACUUCAGUGCUGGUUGUGAAAUUAAGCUUCCUUGGCACUCACUCAACACUGAAUUGAUUUUAGCAGUUCAGAAAAAGCAGAACCUCAAGCAUCCUUCUAUCAAUUUCGCUUUUAAAUAUUAAAUAUUAACAUUACAAUGGGAGUGGAAUUUGUGUUUCCAAAAAUUUAUGCUCAAGUGAUAGGUUUAUUAAGUCAAGGAUGCAGACCAGAAUUGGCUUCGGUUACUAAAGAGUUUAAUAAUUGCUCUCUAUCUCAAAUACUGUGGGAUUUGUUAGCAGCAGUUAAGUGAGCUAGGUCUAGAAUUGGCUGAUGUAGCCAAAUCCUAUUGGGAUUUUCCUUUCUAAUUUGUUGGUGGACUUCUUAUCCACUUCUGUGUAUUUCUCUAUUCUUUAAUAAAAUUGUUUCUUCUCAAAAAAAAAAAAGGAUGCAGACCAGAAAAAACAGUAGAGGAUGGAAUGACGCUGAGAAUUUAGUUAAUCCAACACCAUCUAAUUCAUAAAAAUAACUUUCGUAUUUUAAUUACUUGAAAAUUUUAUUUUAAAGGAGAAAAUGAUGAAUAGACAUCGAAUAAGAGUAAGGACUGAUCCUUUCUAAAGGUAUCCACUCAAAAUAAGGAUAUGUGUCACUGUGAUUUCUACAUUACCUCCUUGACUGGCCCUAAUUGGGUCAUCACCUUGACCAAAAGCAUAAGAUAAAAAAGGGAGGGGAGGGUAGUAGAAGGAAAGAACCUGGGCUUGAAAACCCUGUAUAUUAUCUCAAGCUUGAGUUCUUAUUCCGGGGCUUGACUCAAGCAUGUUAAUACGUUUGUGAACAAGCUUGUGACUAAGAAUCAUGGUAUAAAUUUGAUCUUCUACUUAUUGUGUCAUUUUCCACUGUAUAAUUUCAGUUUUGGUGGUGCAUUGAUAACGUAUGGGCUCAUUGAUGAUAAUUAAUAAAUCAAUCUAUCUACAUUUCCGUUGUUCAUUAGCUCAUUUAUUCUUCUUGAGACUUUCCCAGGUUGGAAUUCUUCUUCGUUCAAUGGGGUUUUCUCCUAAAACAAUUAUAUAUCUGGCUGGUUCUGAAACAUUUGGGGGUCAACGUGUUCUGGUCCCUUUGCGUGCUAUGUUUCCCAAUUUAGUGGAUCGCACUUCCUUGUGCAGCAAUAAAGAAUUGGCUGAUAUACUUGGACCUGAAACACCUCUUCCGCAAAAUCCAUUUCAUCCACCUCCAGCAAAAAGCGAGGAACAACUUAAAGAAGAAUGGAAGAAGGCUGGUCCUAGGCCUCGGCCUCUUCCUCCACCUCCUGGUAGACCUAUCUAUCAACAUGAAAAAGAAGGCUGGUAUGGUUGGAUUACUGAGACUGACAUCGAACCAGACCUUUCUGCUUUGGAUCUGAGAAUGCAAGCACAUAGACUAAUUUGGGAUGCUCUUGAUUAUAUUGUCUCUGUGGAAGCAGACACAUUCUUUCCUGGUUUUAACAAUGAUGGCAGUGGAUGGCCAGAUUUUUCAAGCUUGGUCAUGGGACACCGUUUGUAUGAGGUUGCUUCUUCUAGAACAUACCGACCAGACAGGCAAGAGAAGAAAAAAAAAGAAUCUAAUUCGACCUUUUAUAUAUGAUUGAUGAUCUUGUUUAACUUUGUGUGUCCUCUUUUCGAACAGGAAAGUUGUAGCACAACUUUUCAACAUGACGAGGGACAAUGUCUACCAUCCCAAGCAUAAUUGGACACUCUCAGUGCAGGAACAUCUUAAGAAAAGCUUAAGUGAGGAAGGCCUUACAAGGCAAUCCGUUGUGUCAAAGCCAGCCUUGUUUAUUUCACACCCACUCCCCGAAUGCUCUUGUAGAAUGUCUUCUGCCGAUGCUCCAGUUCAUGUAAAAGGUAAUGAUGGCCGAACUGUAUAUGGAGGCGAAGAAGAGUGCCCGAAGUGGAUGAAGCAUGGUCAAGAAGUUCCUUUGGAUUCAGCUGGGGAAGAGGGAGUGGAGGACAAUGAAUUGUCCCAGUACGGAAGUACUCUGGACGAACAACCAGAAUCAAAUGACAGUGACAGAACUAAUGCUACUCUCUACUCUGAUCAGGACGAGGAAAUGGACCCGAAUGACUAAAGUUGGAUCUGCAUACGAUCCAGUUCCCAUCUUUUUACUAUACUGCGGCAUUCAGUUUCCAUCGUUUUCUACCAAAAUGGAAAGUUUUGGAGGUAGAGAUGACAUUAACUUCACACAAGACGAGGAUCGAGGACAAAUCGAUGCGCUUGGAGUAAGCCAAUCAGAGUUUGUACACCGUUUUACUGAUAUAAGGUUUAUAUUCAUAGAAAAAGUUAUUACUUGUUAGAUAAGCCACAUGUAAUUUUCUUGUAGAGAACAAAUGACGAGUACAGGAAAUGAUUCAUUGCGGUCUCUCAGAUAAUUUUUUGUCGAUACAUUUCAUUUCGAAAACUGUUCGCUUUCCGUUUUUUAAUCAUGCACUUGCUCGUUUGUUGGCCAGAAUUCGAGCAAAAUUUAGCGGAUUAAAACACAUGUAGCUCACACUGCCUCCUAUUUGUUCAAAUUUUGAACUACAAUGUUAGAGCUCGUUUGGAUGUGCUUUUAAAAUGAUUGAAAGCGCUUUUGAUGAAAAUGUUUUUAGAACCAAUCUUUAGUAAAAAUACAAGUGAAUUCUGAAAAACAUUUAAAGUGCUUCUUAGAAGAAGUACAUAAUUGGUGCUUCUUGCAGAAAGCACUUCAAGUGCUUUUAAAACCUAAAACAAUUUUAUCUAAAAGCACUUUCAAUCAUUUUAAAAGCACAUCCAAACGAACCCUUAUGUAGGAGAGGCUCCUCGCUGGUGCACAGAGGUCCAUUUAGAAAAUUUACUUCGCGGGAGAAAUAUGCAAACAAUCGAGGCAUAUGCCACCACCGCUCAGAGCAAUUUGUGGCUCUCUGUAUGUCACUUUCUUUAAAACUCAAAAGGGCAAAACUACUUAACCCGGAAAAAAUAUAUAGCCUCAUCAGCUCCAAAUCUAAAGCUAGUUAGAUCGAAAAGAAGGAAAUUCAGGCGGCAGCUGCAUGCUUUCUCAGAAGAAAACAAGUCUUGAAUACAGAGAAAAUAUCACAUGCAUACAACUGUAAUUUGUAAUUUCAUAUAAAAAGUUAUACAGCCUCUUUGUUUACAAGCAAAACAAAAUUUCAAGUAAUUUACAUCCUACCGAAACCUCCCAUCAUAGUCCUGUAAGUUGAUACACAUACCAACCCACUCCAGCUUACUGGGUUUCCUCUGGUACAUAUUCCGCUGCCCUAACACCCACCGAAAUGUGAGGUGUCCACACAAAACAUCAGUUUACACAUGGAUCACUUCUAAAUUGCACAACAUAAGAAAACCACACUAACAGAUUACGUUUAUUCGUUACCAGGAACACUUUAUUCAAGUAAUAUCAAACACGAAGUAUUGACCAUAGUAUAGAGAGGUGAAAUGCGCUACCAAAGAUUGCUAUGCUGCUGCUUCUGUGGGCUUCUCAGCAACAGUGGGGCUUGCACUUUCGGCUUCUUUUAUCUGCCUCAUGAUGUCUGACUUUGUCUCAAGUAGGCCUUCUAUUUUGCCAUUGAUCUUCUCUAGCUUCUGUUUCAGCUUUACAACAUCACUGCCUUUGUCCUUUUUAUCGACUUUCCUUUUCUUCUCGCCCUUCUCCCCCUUCUCCCCCUUCACCUUUUUCUCUUUAUCUUUCUUCUCUUUACCCUCCUUUCCUUCAUCUUUCUGCGUCUCCUCCUCUACUUCACACUUUGAUUCCUUUACAUUUUCUUGAGUGUCAAUCUCCCUGGAAGUAACUUCAGCCUUGACCUCCUCCUCAUCCUCUUCAUUUUUGUGUUUCUUCUUUUUGUCCUCCUUGUCUUUCUUCUUCUUUCCUUCUUUUUUGUCAUCUUUUUGCUCAUCGCUCUUCUUCUCUUUUUCAUCAUCACCGUAUUUGUGUUUCUUCUUUUUAUCAUCCUUGUCUUUCUUCUUCUCCCCUUCUUUUUUAUUGCCGUCACCUUUUACUUCAUCACUCUUCUCCUUUUCGCCAUCACCACCCUUGUGUUUCUUCUUUUUAUCGUCUUUCUUCUUCUCCCCUUCUUUUUUAUCAUCGUCACCUUUUACCUCAUCACUCUUCUUCUCUGUUUCAUCAUCACCGCCCUUGUGUUUCUUCUUUUUAUCGUCCUUUCCUUCAUCCUUACGCGUCUCCUCUGCUUCACCCUUUGAUUCCUUUACAUUAUCUUCAAUGUCAAUCUCCCUGGAAGUAACUUCAGCCUUGACCUCCUCCUCAUCCUCUUCAUUUUUGUGUUUCUUCUUUUUGUCCUCCUUGUCUUUCUUCUUCUUUCCUUCUUUUUUGUCAUCUUUUUGUUCAUCGCUCUUCUUCUCUUUUUCAUCACCACCAUCCUUGUGUUUCUUCUUUUUAUCAUCCUUCUC
rnacentral:lncRNA from 1 species